AGAGAGAGAGAGCACAGGUCAAAACAGAGAAACAAAGGCAAAAACGGAGGCAGAAGGCGAUGGAACAAGACCGGCAAAGAUCACUAGAAAGCAAAUUCGAUUAAAGAGGGGCGAGCCAACUACGGAAAGCAAAUGAAAAGCCACGUCCGGCACCUAGUCUAGUCUUCUUGUCUUCUCACCAGCGCGGAGCUAAGUGCUGCCACUAGGACGUGGGAGGGAGCCCCAGAGGCCCGAGGGCGGCACUCCUGAGACUUCGGGGCGUGUACAGCCCCACUCAUUAUUACGUGAGAGUGUCACCAGCGGAGACCUUCACAUGCACUAGGCCUUCUUCACAGACGCUGGGCCUUUCUUCAUGGGCAGAACUUCCGGAGGUGCUGGAUGUUCCACGCGUUCUGGAUGGGUACCCCGUCCUGCGUCUCCAGGCGCGCGGCACCAGGCCUGGAGAUGUCGACGACCUUGAACGGGCCCUCCCACAUGGGUGAGAGCUUAUGCAACCCUUCCCUGGAGAGCACCCGCCUCAGGACGAGGUCACCCACCUCGAGCGUCCUGGAACAGACGUUGCGGCAGUGGUACCGCCGCAGCGCCUGCAGGUAUCUUGCCGCCCGUAGCGCGGCUUCGCGGUGACGUUCCUCCCCUAGUACGAGGUCCAUCCCCCGCGUGACGUCGUGCUGUGUCUCAUCAAACGCCAGGACCUAUGCGGAGCGAUGCUUGACCUCGUGAGGGAGAACCGUUUCUGCUCCAUAGACGAGGAAGAAUGGGGUCUCGCCCGUCGGCUUGGUGGCGGUGGUGCGGAUGGACCACAGCACGGACUGGAGCUCGUCGUGACAGCCCCUGCCAUAGGCUUCGAGCUUCUUCUUGAAGUUCCUGGUCUUGAGGCCUCUCAGGACCUCCGCAUUGGCGCGUUCGGCUUGACCAUUGCUUCUGAGGUGCGCCACUGAAGCGUAGCAGAUCUGUGUUCCAAGGUUAGCACAGUACGUUUUGAAGAGAUUACUGGUGAACUACAAGCUGUUAUCCGUGAUGAUGUGGUUGGGGACCCCGAAACGGCUCACGAGGCCCUUGAUGAACUUGACCGCGGAGCCAGCUAGGAUGGUGCGGACGGCUUCUACCUCUGCCCACUUGGUGAACUUGUGGAUGGCGACGUAGAGGUAGCGGUAGCCCCUAGGCGCUCGAGGGAACGGGCCCAAGAUAUCCAGCCCCUAGACCGUGAAUGGCCACAAGAGUGGGAUGGUCUGGAGGCCCUGAGCCGGCUGAUGAAUCUGCUUGGCGUGGAACUGGCAGGCCUCGCAGGACUUCACCAGCUCAGUCGUGUCGUUGAGCGCCGUAGGCCAGUAGAAUCCGCUGCAGAAUGCCUUGCCGACGAGGAUUCGCGACGACGAGUGGUGCCCGCAGUCCCUGCCGUGUAUGUCAGCUAGCAGCUCUUUACCCCAUUCCCUGGAGAUGCAACAUAGGGAAACGUCAUUUUGUCGCUUCCUGUAUAACUCACCAUCCUGGAUGCAGUAUGUCGUGGCUUGCCGGGCCACGCGCUCCGCGUCCUCCUCCUUCUCCGGCAGCGUCCCUUGCGUCAGGUAUUCCUUGAAUUCCUUGGUCCAGCAUCCCUCCUGAGGCUCGAGCGCCAACAGUAGACGCGCCCCCGAGGUCGGGCCAUAGGCCGGGGCUCCUGUGGCAGGUGGCUGUGGGAGCUCCUCCCGAGGCUGCGCUGUCCUUGAAAGUGGUGGCGUCGCCGAUGGCUUGAAGGGCCGCUCCUCAAAGACGCCGGGCUCUUGGGGCAGCCGCUUGGAUGCUCUCUUGGCAAUGUCGUCGGCCUCCUUGUUGGUCCCACGGGGCACGUGCUGCAACUCCAGGCCCAGGAACUUUUUCUCCAUCUUGCGCACCUCCGCGAGGUACGCUUCCAUGUGCUCGUCCCUCGGCUCGUACACCUUGUUGGAGAAGUUGACGAAGAGCUGCGAGUCGCCCUUGAUGGUGAGGCGCUUCACCCCCAGGGCCGCCGCAGCCUUCAGGCCAGCUAUGAGGCCUUCGUACUCUCCUAUGUUGUUGGGGACCUUCUCGCCCUGCUGGAAGAAAAGCUGCAUGGCGUAGUAGAGCUUGUCCUGAGUGGGUGAGAUGAGCACUGCUCCAGCCCCCGUGCCCUGGCACGCGAAGGCACCAUCGAAAUACAGGACCCAGUCGUCGGGUGCUUCGCUCCCCAGCGAGAUUGAUAGAUCCUCUCCUGCUUCAAAUUCUGGGGCAUCCGUCCAUUCUGCCACGAAAUCGGCGAGCGCAGCUCCCUUGAUGACCCUGGUUGUGCUGAACUCCAACUGGAAUGCUUGCAGCUCGAUAUUCCACUCGGCGACCCUCCCGACUGAGUUGGGGCUCCUGAGCACCCUCUCCAAUGGGUAGGUUGAGACGACCUUGAUAGGGUGACCUUGAAAGUAGUGUCGCAGCUUACGUGAAGCCACCAAGAGCGCGAGUAAGAGCUUCUAAGGCAUGGGGUACCGUGCCCUUGCGUCCCACAAUACCAUGCUGACGAAAUACACUGGGUGAUCCACGAGAGCGGGUGCGCUGAUGAGGCCUUCGCCUUCCGGAAGUUGGGGCGCCUCCUGAGAUGAGGGGCCCCCCAACGCCUGAUCGCUUGUCGGGGCCUCUGCAGGCUCAAGGGUGUCGUCCUGCUGAGCUUGGUCCUUUGCUGCCGCUGCUGCGGCCUUCGCGGUGCCCUCCUGGUUUUGUAUUGCUCCCGCUGGGGGCGCAGCUUGGCAUGAUGCGCCCUUGACCUGGCGCUCUUCCCGAACUGCUACUAGAGCCGCGCUAGCAGAGUAGGGAGUGGCGGCAACGCAAAGCACCAGGGGCUCGAGGGGGCGCGGGGCUACCAUCACCGGAGGGCUGUCAGGUAUCUCUUGAGGUCUUGAAAUGCUCGGUCGGCCUCCGGGGUCCACUCAAACGGGCCCUUCUUCUUUAUCAGCUUGAAGAAGGGUAGGGCGCGCUUUCCCAGCUUGGAGAUGAAGCGCCCCAACGCAGUCACACGACCGGCAAGCUUCUGUAUUUCUUUGAGGGUUUGUGGUGGACUCAUGUCUUCGAUUGCCUUGACCUUCUUUGGGUUGGCCUCGAUCCCCCUAUGGGACACGAGGAAGCCCGGGAGCUUGCCGGAAGGGACACCGAAUAUGGACUUCUCCGGGUUGAGCCACAAGUCCACCUGGCGUAGGCUCGCGAAGGUCUCUUCCAGCUCUUGAAUCAAAGUUCUCGCCUCCCGAGACUUCACCACAAUGUCGUCGAUGUAGGCCUCCGCGUUUCUCCCGAGCGGCCGUCCUAAGGCGAUGUGCAUCAGCCGCUGGAAGGUCGCUCCUGCGUUGCGCAGUCCGAAAGGCAUGCAAGUAUAGCAGUACACCCCACACGGGGUCAAGAAGGCGGUCUUCCCCACAUCUUCUACCGCCAUCUUGAUCUGGUGAUAGCCUGAGAACGCAUCCAGGAAGCACAAUAAAUCGCACUCGGCGGUGGAGUUGACGAUCUGGUCGAUCCGUGGAAGCGAGAACGGAUCUCGGGGGCAGGCCAUGUUGAGGUUGGUGAAGUCGACACACAUGCGCUCCUUCCCGGCUUUCUUCGGCACAACGACAGGGUUCGCCAGCCACUCGGGGUACCGAACCUCGCGAAUGGCACCCGCCGCCUCUAGCUUUGCGGGUUUCUUGGACGAUGAAGGCCUGCUUCUCCGUGGACUGUUGUCUCGCCCGCUGCUUCACAGGGCGUACAUUGGGGCACACCUUUAAGUGAUGCUCAAUCACCCCUCUCGGGACCCCCACCAGCUGUUUGGGUUCCCAUGUGAAUACCUCCUUGUUCGCGCGCAAGAACUUCACCAAUGCUUCCUCUUGAUUAGGGUCGAGGUCGGCACCUAUGGUAAAGGUGGCUCCUGAGGACCCGCCCUCAUCGACUGGCACCUGCUUGGUUUCAGCCUUGUCUUGGGUGAACAACUGGUGCGGCUUCCUUGGCCUUGGAGGCGUCCGCGUCGGUGGCCUACGCUGCCGCGGCGGUCUUGACGGCAAGCUUGAGCGCCACCAGAGCCUCCUUGGUGUCCCCCACGAUGGUGAGCACGCCCUUGCUCCGGGGCAUCUUCAUGAGGUUGUAAGCCGGAUGGGUUGCUGCCAUCAACUGGGCCAGAGCUGGGUACACGAGGAUGGCAUUGUAGGGGAGGCCGAUGCGGGCGAUGUCGAAGUCGGCCAGCUCGGUGCAGUUGUUGUCACGUGUGCCGAAGGUUACAGCACGGCGGAUCUGCCCCAGGGAGUGGGAGCUGCCGCCGCCAACCCCUGAGAAAGGCUUGCUCAGGCUGAGCCGCUCGAGUGGUACGUGAAGAAGGCUGAAGGCCUCCACGAAGAGCACGUUGAGGUCGGCGCCGCCGUCGAUGAGGGUCUUGGUGACGGCCACGUUGCAGAUGGUGGGCGUGCAAAGCAUUGGGAGCACACCCAAGCCGGCGGCGGUGACGGGGUGGUCCCCCGAGUCGAAGGUGAGGUCGGCCUCGGGCGCCGCCCAACCCGGGCGAGCCCCUUGGCGCGUGUAAGCGGCGCCGAUCUAGCGAAGGAACGGCUUGAGGUGAUGGUCUGAGGGCGGCGCUUGCGAGCCACCGAGGAGGGCCGCCACAGCGAGGGGUGCCGGCGCCGCGAAGCGUGCGGUGAAGAGGUCAAGCAACUCCUCCCAAGAGGUCACGGAAGAUCCUGGGAGGGUGAGUAGCACGGCACGCGGUGCCCCGUAAGGGCCAUGGGAAGCUAGUUGGCCAUGACCCUGUUGUCGCCCCCAGCUUUGAGGACGGCCUCCUCGUAUGCCAGUAGGAAAGCCACCUGAUCUGUCGUGCCGUCGUAGCGCGGUGGCAUCUCCGACUUGAACUUGGGCGACCACUGCACCUGUCGUAAGGCGGGGGCCAAGGCUCGGAGCCCCCUGGCCCCGCCGCUGGCAUCGGUCGUCGGAGCAGGAAGCGAUGUGCUUGCCAUGGGGGCGGAGCACGGUGGUGGCGAAGCACAGAUCGACGGAGGGAAAGCUCCGGCGCACCCCUACCUGGCGCGCCAAAUGUCGGAUUUCGGGUUCCGGCAAAACCCUUGAGGUUCGAACACUUGGGUGUGCACGAAGAUCUCCCCCUACCUAAUCACGCCCUCACCCUCACCGCAAUCUCAAGGUAUGGCUCGACGAACUCACCACACAAGGGACACAAGAUUUAUACUAGUUCGGGCCACCGUCAUGGUGUAAUACCCUACUCCAGUGUGGUGGUGGUGGAUUGCCUCUUGGGCUGAGGAUGAACAGUACAAGGGAAGAACAGCCUCGUGAGGAGAGGUGUUCUUGUGCUCGAUGGACUUGUGGGGGUGAGGAUUGCUCAAGAUAAGUUGCCUCCUACUGUGGUGGCUAGUCCUAUUUAUAGAGGCCCUGGUCCUCUUCCCAAAUAUUGAGCGGGAAGGGACGCCACAAUGGCCAAUUUGAAAGGGGACAUCUAGUACAAGUUGUCCUCACUAAAGGUGGUCUUCGCCUGCCAAAGGCUCUGGUGGUGACGCCGUCUUGGGCUCCAUGGUGACCUCCGUCCUGCCGUCCUGCUGGUCUUGGUCUCGUUGCACUGAUAUGGAAACCUUUGCCUGAUGCCUCGGUACUCCUUGCCUGCGCUUGCCCCUUUAGCACCAAAGAGGAAGCGAGGACGCUGCGAUUGCUGGCGCCCGCCUGGCCUUGGUCGUCAUGGCUUGCGUCACGGGAGCCUCGCGAGGUUCUCCUUGCCUUGAUCUCUCCACCCCUCGCGAGCCAACCUGGCGAGGCCGCUAUCGAGGGGGUCUUGCGUCGUCCGCCACACGAGGCUUGGCUCCUCGCGAGGGUCUUGAGUGUUUGCUGGUGAAGUUGGGCCGUACGGGGCCGCUGGGAGAGCCACGCCGUGGGCCGCAGGCAGGCAAGUCUAGGGACCCCCGUUCCCAGACGCCGUCACAAUGCAAGCUAGACACCACAUGAAAGAUGCAACCAAUAUGACUCUGCCAAGUUAAAAGCGUCCCAUCAUAAAUGGCAUUUCAACAAAUUAGAAGUAGCGCAUGCUAUAAAUCAUAUGAAAGAUGCAACUAAUAUCACACUGCAUAUACUAAAGGUGUCUCGUCAUAUUGAUUUAUGUAGGGUACAAAAAACAAUAGUUUUAUGUAAAGACAUGCUUAAUAGACAAAUGUACUAUGUACUAAAAACAGGAAGGCAUGUCACAUUAACAGGUAUAAUGUAUAAACUAAGCAAAAUAGCACAUGCAAUUUAACCAGAUUGGAAGAAUUACAAUCUAGACACCAUAUGCAACAUGCAACCACAUAUCACGCUGCCAAGUUGGAGCAAGCACCUACGAUGCUAGUGUAGGGGAAGUGUGGUAAUCAACUAUAGAGCUACGUUCACUAUCUUCAUCUAGCCUUGCUGUUUCUUGAGAAUCAUGUCGGUAGGCUGACGCUGCAAUCUUUAAAUGAGGAUAUUUUCUCACAGUAGUCCACUUGCCUGACUGCCUCAUCAUAAGUGAUUGAUGAGGGAUACACAAGAACAUUAGUUUGAUGUAAGAACAUGGUUAAUAGACAGAUGUACUAGUAUGUACCAAAAACAGGAAGGCAUGCCAUAUUCAAAGGUAUAGUGUGUAAGCUAAGCAGAUGAAAUUUAACCAAAUUGGAAGCAAUACAAGCUAGACAUCCAGCUGGAGUGGUGAGCAUGAUCAUUUAGGAGCUGAGAGCCUGGUGGGAGGCUGGCUGCUUCGCCACCAUCGUGGCUUUUUAGUUGGCUUCCAGGUGAUGCAUGUCUGUGCUGGGCUUGUCACUGGCUCGGCCAAUGCCCUGACUAGCCAUUUGACUUCUGGUGCUCCCAAGAUGGUGGUUCAUGUAAAAAAUAUCUUUCCUUACCUUAAUAAAGACCGACUUUGGCCUUUCGAAUACAAGCUAGACACCAUAUGCAACAUGCAACCACAUAUGACACCGCGAAGUUAAAGCAGGCACCUGGGAUGGUGGUUCAUUGGGAGCGAGGUCAUCGACUACAGAGCUACGUUUACCGUCUCCAUCUGCUGACACUGCAACCUUUAAAUGGCUGAAACGUGUCUGGCCUAGCCGCGUACCAUGCUGGAGCAACUUCUUUUUUUCCUGCUUUUGUGAAGGCAGCAGAGUCUGAAAUACCCUUGCAUAAAAACACAAUAGCGAGAGUAUGGGUGAAGUGUGUGCAGAACUAGUGCACUGUAAAAGUAGCAGAUAGCAGGUGGCUGAAAAAUAAAUGACACGAGACAUAUGAUAGCUCUACAACAUUCAAUGGCAAACAAAAUUAGAUUGUACUCUGUAUGAUUUUGUAAUAUAUGAGCACAGGAAAUGCAGGUACUCCUACAACACACCACCACAUGUGGUCCUAUCACGAUAACAGUUGUCUGAAAAUAAAUAGGUCAGUCGAUUUUUUAUGAACCGUCCGAUCUAUAAGGAAUGGGCAGAUGGCCUUCGUCUACCUCCCGCCAGUCACUGUUGACGAUCUUUCUCGAACCUCCAGCGACCACCGGCCCAAACCCCUGCCUCCGCCGCCCCGCCCUCCCCUCGACCUCACACCACCGCCGUGCUUGGCAGUGCCCCCAGGCCAUCCCUUUAAUCCUGGCCGACCUCCAGAUCGGGUGCUAGCAGCUCUAGGCCCCACACGCCCCUAAGAUAAACACCGAGGUGCUGCUUCCCCAGCGUAAUAGGCGGACUAGCGCCUGUUAUGCCGGGGAAUGCUUCCGUUAAUUGGGAAUCAACUGACCAGGAAUUGAAAUUCAGGGGGGCGACGGACCUCUAGCUAAGGUGAAAUAGUAUAUGAGGAGAAACCUUGUGCAUCACGAGUAACUAGGAACAUCUAGUAUCAAGAAGAAGCGGUCAACUAGUGUCUUCUGUGGGAUGAAUACCGUGCAAGCAGACACGUAAGAUUUGCACGAAUAAGGGAAGAGGAGUACCAUUUCCGGUUGCCAGUGUGUUCGCCUCCACCUGUCGCGCCGAUCUUCUUCUUUUUGCCGGGGAAACCGAUGUUUUGGAGGAGGGUGCAGGCUUGGACGAACACGUGGCAAAAUUGUUGACUGUGUUGCCGUGGCCGUAUGCCGGCGGAGGGGAAGCAGAUCCGAGGCGGCGAAGGACGGCGUAGCAGGAACAGCUCCGGUGCGGUGGACAGUGGCGAAGUUGGAGCGGCAGCGGUGAGGCGCAGGACGGCGUGGUUGAACUGACUCGGGUACGGACGGCUCGGCCUCGGCUUCAACUACUAGCCUUGGAGGGUGUUGCGGUUGAGGUUGCGGUGGACGACGAUGUCGAGGUAUCGGCUCCGGCAUGAUGGAGGAGGGCGGCGGUUGAUGGGUGGGUUGGGGUGGCGGACGGAGGAUGCCGGGGUUUCGCGGUUGGUGGUGAGGUAGUUUUGGCGCCCAUGGAGUAUGAAUGGGGAAUCGGAUGGGGGGCGGGGGGAGCUAAGGGAGAACCAUGUUUCGGUCUGGGACGCGCUUGUUUUUGGCUUUUUUGAACAGAUGGGACGCGCUUGUUUGAAAUUAGGGGAAAGUACAAACUUUGCCCCCCUCUUAAAUUUCGGACCUACUGCGGAUCGGGGGUAGGAUGGUAAUCCCAGGUGUCCCAAAUAGUGGGCAGGAGCGAUUUUGGCCGCGCGCAUGUGUUCUUAGGCGGCCAUUGUGUAUGAAUGUUUUUCGGAGGCGGUUGCGUGGCGUCUAGAUGAAGCUACAAACCUACCCCGGUUUAGACCUUUGGACGUUGGGCUGGUAGGUUUCACAGGUCGGAGUUAGAAAAGUAAUUUCCUUCUACUACCAAACACUGGUCUCACGCUGUUUCGGGCGAGUAGAGGCUCUUUUGGCGCUUCGUUCGAAAUUUUGAAACAGAAGCAUUCACGUUUAGAGUACUCUUGAACUUUGAGGAUUGACCUAAAUAGACAACGUUAAAUUUGACCUUGUAUGUUUGAAAACCUCAUUAAAUUAUCCGCUUUUUUGAAAUUUUGACACUUGAAAAUCCUAUAACUACGAUUUUUUUGGAAUGGAGGAGCUAAAUUUGUAUCUAUUUUGUACACGACUAUAUAUGCUAUUAUGUACAAAAUCAGAGCAAAGAUUGGUGCCCCCAUAAUUUAGGUAUGACUUACAAAUGCCAUGAUAUCGAAUUCAAAUAAUUUAAUGGACUUCAUGUUGAAUUCGAUUUUUUUAAACCACCUUAAGUUGAAUUCAAAUGUAUCCUAGUUCAUAGCUAGCUAUUUAUAAUGUUCAUUGUGUAACUUUCGUAUGUUUAAUGUGCUUUACACACACAACAUGAACUAUACUCACGUUUAUAUUCGAUUGCUAAAGCGAUGCAGUGUCUGAAGUUCAAAAUACUAACUAUGUGGAUCAAUUAUGUCGAAUAAUAACAUAGACAUGCUCAAAUUCGAUAGAAUCUAGAUGUCUGAUGUAUCAAUGACCGUUCCUUACGCGAAUCGCAAAUAUCAUGAUCCCAUCCUAAUAUUUGGAUACAAUUUAUAUCUUUAAUCAAUGUGUACAUCAGUCUUUUACGUGUAGUUUCACUCUCCAUCGGUGGUCUCUCACACAUGCUCACACACUCUCUCCCGAGGUGUCUUUCUCGCAUACAUGCUCUCUAUAUAACCCUCCCUCCCUCUCGUAACCAUUUACGACUGUUUUCACUAACCUUUAUCACAAGCACUCUUCCUCUCACAAGCAUACACACGCACAAUCCCCGUCGACCCUUCCUAUAUACAUAGACCUGCCUACGUGUCUCCUGUACGCACAUUAUCUUUAGGUCCGUCUCUCAUGCAUUGUCUCACAGCUCUCUUCCUAAUCGACGAGUAUGAUUCUAGCAGAGCAUUCUGUAGGAUGCCCCUUAAAGUUAGGUUGGAUGAAUAGUAAUAUCAGAGAUAAGGGGUUACCUUAGUCCAAGAACUCGGGUUACAAAUCCUAGCCGGCUUUGUUAGUGGACACAGAGUCCUUCACAAUUCUGCUAUCGUUGUCUUGUAGGACAAGUCAUCCAUGGGUCUCCCUAAAUGCGUCACGGGCCGACCAAUGUGGUGCGGGAACCGAACCAAGGCCCUCACCUCCACCCACCGGACCUCACGUGGUGACACACCCUCUGCCCAAAGGUCUCGUUAUCUUCUCACACCCACACAUACCAACACGGACACCACACAAAAAAAAUCUCCUCGUUCCUCUAUCCCCACCCCCCUUGCAUAUACAGUUAUACACACUCAAGGGAACCUCUCGCCGUGACAUCACAUUAGUCUCUAUCUAGACCUCUCUCAUUUCUCGUGCUAUCUCUCUCACGCCCCCUUCCCGCGCCGGCCCCUCUAUCCAUGCCUCUCUCGAAUACGUAAUACACACACAUACCUCUCUAGGCCCUGCCAAAUACAUCAACUACACAUUCACACAUGUUACAUCACGUACCCCAUUGAUCUAAAAAGCCCUCUCUUCACGUUUAUUUCGCAUACAACAUUCCUUUUGAAUAAAGUGUGGCCAAAAAAUUAUUUUAGAAUUUCUACAUAUAUACAACAUUACAAAGUUAUAUGGAGGAGUCUGAACGUUAAUUUGUUGCAUGGUGCCCACAAUGAUAUUUAUUCUGCACUGUGAAUUUUUAUAUUUUUAUACUAUAUAUAAAGUUAGUCAUAAUAAAGAGAAACGAAGAGCAUCUCUCUCCCCAUCGCAUACACCCCCUCUACGCCCCUUUCACGUACGCACACAAACUAUCUCCAGGUCCUCUAAAAUUAAGCCCCCAGCACAUUCACAUAUGUUUCAUCUUUCUCUCGCGAUAUAUACAGUGACGAUCAUUGUAUUUAGAGCGAAAGCACGUACAUUGGACUUCAGAAUCCACUCAUUAUGGUCACCUUUUAUCUUUUGUGGUUAUUAUACAGUCACGGGCUCACCGUACAGCUCUGUAUUUUCUCAAGACACGACUAGUUGACCAGUUAAACGCUCCACGUGGCACCUCUACUGUUGCAUCACAUUAUCUCACUACCAUUGGGCCCACCUGUCGGCUUGUAUAUACUCUUCUACACUCUUAUAAAAAACAGAGUUGGUCUUGAUGGUGUGCCUGCCAUCCUGCAAUAUAGGCCAUCCGAUUUAUAUCUGACGGAUAGGAAGGAAACUAUGGCAAUUUUGCAAAAAGGUACACACACACCUCUCCACAUUUGCAAAUAAGGCCUUCCCUCGUUCAUCCUUUUCUCUCACAAGAUAAACUAGUCAUACAAAUGCUCUUGAUGUUACGUGCAACGCACGGGCAUCUUGCUAGUAAGAAUGAAAACAAACAACAACAAAAUAUUGGACGGUGGUUCGAAGUCAUGACCGUGGGCACAUCGGACAAGGGGGCCUUGUAUUGGUAUGCUGAGCCAUCUGUUUUAACGCACAGGAGCUGGUGUGGUGAUUAUACACACACGCACGCAUGCACACGAACUGCAUGCAUGCAACACUCACACGAACACAUGCAGCCACGCACACACGCAACACUCACACAUACACACGCAGCCACGCACGCACGCAACACUCACAUGCACACGCACGCAUGCAUUCACACGCCACACGACCAACACACACUCUCACGCUCAAGUGCUCAACCUACACGUGCAUGCGCACACAUCAGGCCCUGACAGACACAUACACAACCAGGUGAUUCUCGCGCACGGGUUGGAGUCUUAUCGCGCCUGCAUAAAUUUGUGUUAAUCUGACCUUUUUCCUAUGCAAACUGACAGGUGGGACCCACAAGGAACGUGGUCAAUUUAACUAGUCAACAUGGUGCCACGCAGACUAUUUGGCCGGUCAACAGAGUGCAAUCCGAUGCUGAACGGUGAGCAAGUGAUCGUAUAAUCACCGCAAAACGUAUAUAGUGACCGUAAUGAGCGUAUUCUGAAGUUCGGUGACCGUAUUAUGCUUUCUCUCUAUAGGCCCUCCAAAACUACAUCUCUACACGUUCUAGCAUGUUACAUCUAACAACUAUGCAAUACAGCACUACUACUACACUCUAUCAUAAGAAAUCAUAUGUGUUUUUAGUUUUACUAGAUAUCAUAUUGUUACUUAAUUAUUCAGUUUGCAUACAUUAAAAUUGCCUUUGAAAUGUAUGGCCAGUAUCAUCUACCGCGCGGGAAAAAUCCCGCCCUUUCCUGUUUAAUCGGGUUUGUAUCGAUGGAUCAUGUGAAACAGCAAAACUAUAGUACUAGUAUACAGUACAAGCGACAGUUCACUGGGCCGCCGUGUCAUGUACCCCUCCGUCGUAAGAGUGGAGCGCUCGCUUUCAUAAAUGUUCUAGUCCCUUUCGGACAUGUGGGACAUCAAGCUACUGGGUCCACGUGCCAUACCGAAAUACAGUGCGAAGCAGCAGGGGUGAAGCACCCCAGUCAUGGCGCCGGCGUAGUAAUGAGCAAUGAGGCGUCAAAUCAGAAAGCUGCACCUUUCCCGUAGUUAAGUUGGAGGGACGAAGUAAUAAUAAUGCUAGUAAAAAAAGAAGUUGGAGGGAUGAAGCAACCAUCAUUUCACUCAUUGCUGAAUCCGCUUCUCCCUCAUCUUCUUCAAGUUAACCACGUGUUGCUUCUGCCGUUGUUUUGCCUCAUGUGGGACGCGGAUCGGUUUGGUAAAGCACUGACACAUGGGACCGCAUGUUAGCAAACCGCCAGGCCAACGUCCUCUAAAAAUAAGAAACCUCCCCUGCCAUUCGCGCGGCAAAAUCACCUCCUUUUUACUAAUCUUGAUUCUAUAAUUUUUUAGAUCAAUAUAAUUGAGAUUUGUAUAGAUACCACACAGGAGCAAAACCAGGUGGUAUGGUUAAGGGCAUCCACAAUGUGUAGCCAAAUGUGAAAAUAGCUUUUGUCAUCGAUGGGAACCAUUUGUGGACGGUGCUGCCAAAGCCAAAAAGAUGGAACCGAAGCUCCCUGAUUGAUUGAUUGAAGGAAUAGAAAAAUGCAACAUCUCUCCUCUCUCUCCUGUGCUUGGACGCAUGUAUAGUAUAGAGCACAUAGUCUACUCCCCUAUCCCUUCUAUCAUAAAUCAUAAAGCAGUGAGGCGUUAAAUCACAAAGUAGGGACGAAGAAACCAUCAUUUCACUCUUCGCUGACUCCGCUUCUCCAUCAUCUUCUUUGAGAAACCACAUCACCGCACUAAGCUGGACGGACGACGCUAUUGUGUACUAGUAGUACUAGUACAUUUACGCGUCCUUUGGUUCAACGGACUUCCUGGAUGCAAAUAAGGCGGUUGUCUCGGCUUGCAGGCGGCACUUGCGAAUGACUUAGCGUGGUCUCCCUCAAUGGUGUUCUCCGUCGAACGCACUUCGCCAAACCACAACAUUCGAGAUAUCGUCGAUGUCGCCGCAAUGGGGAAGGAAGACAAAUAGUUACUACCUCCAUUUUUUUGUACACCAGGCCAGUAUAUCAAAAUUACAAUUUGCAAAAGGCCACUAACACUAUUCGAGGCAAAAUUGAUGGGGUUUGCCUCGUACUAGCAACCAAGGACAUUAGUAUACCCUUGCAUGCAUGCGGAAGUGAGAAGAUUGGUUUGCAUGUCACUGCAUUAAUCAAGCGAUGAGGAGUGAGAUGGUUAGCUCUUUGGGCUUUGGAGAAAAAAUACACAUUAAUUGACACGUUAAACGAUGAUUUGUAUCGAACCGCACCCUCACACGGUCGCUCCCGCACGCUGCGGUCGCACCGCAGCCUCACACAGUCGCUCUGCACGUCGCAAACCCAACCAAGGGAACGCACCCUCACUGACACGUGCUACCGCUGACAGAUAAUUUUCGUUCAUACAUUAUGUUUAUCCAACCACAUGUUGGGGUGGAUCCGUACGACCCGUGCGGUGGUCUGUCGGGGAAGAAGAAGAGGUGAGGAAGAAGGGUUAGGAGACGUAGGAUAUUCAUCCAACCGCCUGAAAUGGUAGACUGACCCAAAUGAUGAAAGUCAGGCGACUUGCAUAACAAUAUAUGUUUUCACACAGCAAAAGAUCCCUAAAAACAACAACAUAAAGAAAAACUAUCACUGCUCGCGGAACGAGACGGCCUCGUCGUCUUUGGCUGCUGGCACGAACCAGCCGUAGCUGCCGACGUGUGUCUGCACACCGUGGUUGUCCUCGGCCUCCAGCUACUUGUUCACGCGGAGCGUGCGGGCGCUCUGCACGGACGAGAGCACCGCUCGGUUCAAGUCGAGGACGUGCGGUUCCGCCUGCAGGAGGGCCUCGAUGGCAGCGGCAUUCGCGCGCCCCGCGUCGAGUUGAGCCUCUGCCGCCCGGUUCAAGUCCAGGACGCCCGGUUCCGCUUGUAGGAGGGCCUCGAUGGCAGCGGCAUCUGCGCGCUCCGCGUCGGGUUGAACCUCCGCCGCCCGGUUCACAUCCACGACAUCCGGUUCCGCCUGCAGGAGAGCCUCGAUGGCAGCGGCAUGCACGCGCUCCGCGUCGAGUUGAGCCUCUGCCUCCCAGUCCUCCUUUAGUAUCGCCAGGUUGAACCGCUGGUCCGCCUGCACCAUGGGGGACCCGGACGCCGGCAGGAAGUCGACGUCCAUCGUCUCAUAACCAUCGGGGGCCUUCUGCGCCGCGACCUCCGCCAUGAACAUUGGAUCGGCUUCCUCCUCCUCGUAGCUUGGCUCCAGAGAACUCGGGGAUUGGCCCGCCGCAAAGCGAGCUUGCGAAUGGAGGUCUGUGGGGCCGACCGCCGCCGCGAUUUCUGCACGGCGCUCCGGUGUCAGCAUCUUGUAGUACAUGAUCUUGUGGCGCACCAUGGCUUUCCGGCGAACUAGGGGACGCUUGUUGCGGGCUAGGGGAUCGAAAGGUGGGGGAAUAGGCUGGAGAGGAGGUGUGGUUUUGGGGCAGUAGCUGGCGUAGGCCGAGCAGCGAAGGUUCUGGUGUGAAUAGUGGUUCCGGCCGAGCAGCGAAGGUCAAUCGGUUUCGACUGUACAUCGCUCUUGUCGCGUUCCCGUUGCACCCCGGCACGCUGGACCCUCCACAUCGUUCACCGAAUGGAACGCGCUUCGUCUUGCAUUUUCUCUCGCCUGUGGGACCACAAUUGAGAGCAAACCGACGUCCCUCCCCCUCCCCCGCCUGCGUCAUUUGUACUACCACUCCCUCCUUUUUAUGCGGAGUAAAUAAAAACAGAGGGAGUAUACUAUGGAUGAGGAUCCCCUGACAUGGCCGAACCCAUUGAGUAACUGACAUGCGGGGCCUAGCAAGCAUGGGUCCGCGAGUAAGUGACCGAAAGGGAGGGUAAGGCAGGGAUCCUACGUCAGAGGAUCCACUUCCACUACUACUCCCUCCUUCCAUCUACAGGGCCUAAUGCGUUUUUCGAGGCUAACUUUGACCAAAUGUUAGAGUAAUAAUAUAUGACAUGCAACUUACACAAAGCAUACGGUCAAAUUCGUAUGUGAAAGGAGCUUCCAAUGAUAUAAUUUUCACAUUAUACAUCUCAUGUACUAUUAAUCUUGUCAAUAGUCAAAGGCGGUUUUGAAAAACGCAUUAGAGCAUGUUUAAUAAUAUAGCCAGCCGAUGGCUAUAAGGAACUGCCAUGCCAUCUAUCGCCAUCAUCUAUAUGCACUCAUACAAUAGAGUGGGCUAUAAGGUUGGCUAUUUCCCGCAAAAAUAUAAUAUAAAAGGUUGGCUAUUGUAUUAGUACUUUUUCCCAUCUCCUCUCUACUAUCUCUUUCUUCAUAUUUAUUGUAUUUACCUAGGAAUGCGUAUAUAGCUAGGCUCUUGCAUGAGAGCUCACUCCCCUUAAUGGCUAUUAGGUUGGCUCUAAGCAUUUAAUAUUUGCAUGAGCAAGGUAUAUGAUUGGAAGAGAGUUGCAUGCAUACUUUUUUUCUUGAUCUAUGUGUUAUGCCCAGGCUGUAGAAUAUAAGAGCCUGCUUCACUCUCUCUCCUCUCUUCUCACUCCCCCAAGUAGGAUUUUAAUGACAUGACAAGACUUAUAGCCUGCUGACUAGGCCUUAUUAGACUUGCUCUUAGGCCCUAUAUAAAUGGAAGGAGGGAGUACUAUGAGCACUGCAUACUCUACUAUAGAUGUUGUCAAUACUCCACUAGUACUAUUGGACAGGGAGCUUAAAAAAAGUUACUAUUGGACUGGCUAUACGUGGCGAAAUCCUAGUAGGAAGAGCAUGCGUGAGAACAAGCACAUUCACGUGGUUGAAACCAAAUUGGAAACCAUCUCUGUUUGAAUACAAAUCUAGGAGUACGUACGAAUCUAACAAUAUUGAUUGGGCGUUGUUGAAUGUUGGUACUUUUUUAUGUAAGUUUGAUCAAAGUAGAGAUACUUUGACUACACAUCAAACUUAUAUGUAAACUAGAAAGGAUCGGAGGGAGUAUAUUGUACGUUCAAAAGCGAAACGAACAUUGAAUACCCUUUAUAUAUGAUUUGCGGAUGCUAUGAUCACCGGUUCAAAUUUUUGAAUCCGCCUUAGGUAUCACACAUGCACCCACUCGUUUUCUCUCGAUUUCAUCUCGGGGUCCAGAGAUCGAUUGAAAGAGGACUAGGGUGGGUACAAUACGUUCGUUUCUCUUAUGAACGUACAAUAUACUCCCUCUGAUCCCCNNNNNNNNNNNNNNNNNNNNNNNNNNNNNNNNNNNNNNNNNNNNNNNNNNNNNNNNNNNNNNNNNNNNNNNNNNNNNNNNNNNNNNNNNNNNNNNNNNNNNNNNNNNNNNNNNNNNNNNNNNNNNNNNNNNNNNNNNNNNNNNNNNNNNNNNNNNNNNNNNNNNNNNNNNNNNNNNNNNNNNNNNNNNNNNNNNNNNNNNNNNNNNNNNNNNAUUCUAUCAUAGAAACAGACCAAACCUUUAUCUCCUUGCACAACACACAAUUGAUCUCUCAAACAUCAAUCAAUCUUGUCAAGAUGUGUCGGGGCAUGAACCGAAUGGGAUGUCAAAACUAAGAUGGGAAGCGACACGUAGUGGAGGCAAAGUGAAACUUUAAAUGAACCGUUUGUUUGUAUGCAUGUCGUACAAAUUACAACAUUGGAAAUACAAGCGAAUGAUACUCGGCGGAAUGUUCAAAUGACGCAUCCGGGAGGAUGGACUCGACCAGAGGGCGGCAUGAUCGAUGGAGAAGAGGGUUGGAGAGGAAUGAGAAAUAAGCAACGCCGCAUGAUUAUACUUGAACGGCUCAAAUAAACAAUAAGUUGUCUCGUUUUCCCUUCCGUCUUGGUCACGGAGUAAGAUACUCCCUCUGUUUUUAUUUACUCUGCAUAUUAGCUUUGACUGAAGUCAAACUUCAUAAAAUUUGACCAAGUUUAUAGAAAACUAGCAAGAUGCCCGUGCCUUGCACGGAACAUCAUGAUCUUGUGGGAGAAAAGGAUGAACGAGGGAAGGCCUUAUCUGCAAAUGUGGAGAGGAGUGCGGGUAAAUUGUCAUAGUUUCCAUCCUAUCCGUUAGAUAUAGAUCAGACGGCCUAUAUUGCAGGAUGGCAGGCACAUCAUCAUCACCAACUCUGCUUUUUUAUGUACACUAGCAAGAUGCUCGUGCGUUGCAUGGAACAUCAAGAUGCAUUUGUAUGAGUAGUUUAUCUUGUGGGAGAAAAGGAUGAAUGAGGGAAGGCCUUAUUUGCAAAUGUGGAGAGGGGUGUGGGUAUCUCUUUGCAAAAUUGCCAUAGUUUACGUCCUAUCCGUCAGAUAUAAAUCGGACAGACUCUUAUAAAAAAUAGAGUUGGUGAUGAUGGUGUGCCUGCCAUCUGGCAAUAUAGGCCGUCCGAUUUAUAUGUGAUGGAUAGGAAGGAAACCAGGGCAAUUUUGCAAAAAGGUACCCACACACCUCUCCACAAUUGCAAAUAAGUCCUUCCCUCGUUCAUCCUUUUCUCUCACAACAUAAACUAGUCAUACAAAUGCAUCUUGAUGUUACGUGCAACGCACGGGCAUCUUGCUAGUAAGAGUAGAAAUAUGAACAUAUACAAAGCAAAUAUAUAUGAUGUGAAAGUAUAUUCAAUAAUGAAUCUAAUGGUAUUGAUUUGUUAUUGUAUAUGUUAUUAUUUCUAUCUAUGAACUUUGUGAAAGUUUACAACGUUUGACUUUGAGCAAAGCUAGCUAAAAUGCGGAGUAAAUAAAAACAGAGGGAGUACGCAGGGACUAGUAUAGUUACUACUACCGGAACAUGGUAAGUUGGACCCCUAAAUGCGGGCACGGACCGGGCACACGUCAAUUAUUCUUUCAAACAGUCGGACACCUACAUUUAGCACACCUUUCGGCUACUUAAUCAAGUGUUACGCUUCACUACUUGAAAAUGAAAAGGGUGGCACCAUACCCAAAACCACCACACCUGGGGCUAGGGUAAUAACUUGGUACUGUACCACAUUUGAACUAGGGCACAAAAACCACCUGUUCUGCGCCUAAUGCGCAACGCGGAGCACUGACGCUUGAAUAUGGCCAGGAAAACAGGGAAACCAACAUGUGGGGCACACCUGUCGGGAUGAUGUGGCGCGGACUAGUCCAAUGGAGGAGCUGGCCAACGACCUCCUCGCCACCGGCAACCGUUCAUGUGGGUCGUGGGGGCCAGCAAUGUGGCGCAGCUCCAGCACCGCCUCUGGACAGGGCGACCGCGGUGAGCGACACACUCAUUGUCGCUGGACACGGUCGGUUUCAGUGUGCCAAGGGUGGCGUUAGCGUUGUGGCACGACCAGCACAUCAACACCCGGCUCAUCGAGGAUGCACGGGGCACCGAAGUGCGCGCGCGCCGCGACACAUCUGCGGAGUGGUGUAGCGCGGCCAACUACAUCCCCAGGACCUGAGACCAUCCCGGGUCUUCUUGCUUUUUCAAUGACAUGUGGGGUCGCAUGUGAGCAAAGGGCAUCUCCAACGUUGCCACGAACGCAGCUGACUACCCUGGCACACCAAUAACCCUCGUCCCUCGCGCCGUCGCACGGUGUGUUCCUAGCCGGCGCAAGCUGCCCGCAUUCAUGCCGUCCGUCCGUAUGCUGUCGUUAAGAGGCUCUGUGCCCGAGGAACAAACUCCGACGACUUAAUUACGCGCCCGAAAGCUUUGGCCUCACCGGAAUGCGCUACUUAAAGCGGCAAUGCCCAGCUAACCUCCACACCAUAGCGCAUCGUCCUGCUACCUGGCACCACAUCCGCCAUGACUGCAAGCGCGAACGCUCUGCGGGAGAGCUUUUUCUUUGGGUAUGAAGCACGAGGUCGCCGCCCUCGCUGAAGUCGCCGCUCGCGAUGCAAUAGCAGCGUAGCCGGAUGCGGACGCGACCGCACAAGCGGUGGCCACGAUUGCGGCCGACGACGGGAGCACCGUCAGCCACGCGUCCUACUUGCCGCCGUCCAACUUCCGGCACCGCCGAGGUCAGGGACUCCUCCGAGGAUGAGUUGGGCAUGGGAGGCGGCAGGACAUGGUGUGCCAACAGGCCGGUCCGUCUCCCGUGUUCUACUCUUCCUCACCGGAGACCGCACCUUCGUCUUGAACCCCGCCCCCGUACAUGGAGAUCGCAGAUGGAGGACGUCGGUCGCCGCCGUAGAAUAGGUUUAGGGUCGGGUUUAUUUUAUUUUUCUGUCCUAUAAAAGUUCGAAAUGUAAUGAAAAUUUGCCAUGUUUGCAUUAAUCUCGGCCGGUGUAUAUGAACUUUCACAAUAAUAUAGUAUAUUGUAGGAGUACUAGCAAGAUGCAUGUGCGUUGCAUGGAACAUCAAGAUCUUGUGGGAGAAAAGGAUGAACGAGGGAAGGCCUUAUCUGCAAAUGUGGAGAGGAGUGCGGGUAAAUUUUCAUGGUUUCCUUCCUAUCCGUUAGAUAUAGAUCGGACGGCCUAUAUUGCAGGAUGGCAGGCACACCAUCAUCACCAACUCUACUUUUUAUUGAACCGAGACAAAGCUAACAUGCGAAGUAAAUAAACACAUAGGGUCUACAUACACAAUUUAUCUUAGGCACUCCAAUAGUACGUCCACUACACAUUCACGUAUUUCACAUCUUUCUACAUCUACGGGAACCUACGAAAGGGUUAACGUAAAUUGCCUCUCUCUCUCCUCCCUGAUUUUCAUGGUGGUGUGCCCCUCCCUCCCCCAAUCUACAAUCAAUAGCUCACACGUUUCAGAUUAUGUUAAUUACGUAACUGGGAUUAUGUAGGUGUAGCAUUACUCGUCCAAAAAACCCAACUAAGCCAACCUCCCAGCAUAUCGCGCGGGAAAAGACCCUGUCGCGCCAUUUUAGUCGGGAUUACCGGAUUACUAGUAGUAGUACCGAUGGAUCGUGCGAAGCACCAAGUUUUUUUGAGGGGGCGAAGCACCUAGUUUAAAAGGAAAAGGGGGUGCACUCAUAGCACCCCUGUCGCGGUCGCAUUGCACCCCACACACGUUCAGUCCUGCACACGGCUCACGCAAACAGAACGCACUUCGGCUUGCCUCUUCACUGACACGUGCGACUGCACUUGGAGAAACCGACCAUGCGCGAAACUCCCACCGCCCACNNNNNNNNNNNNNNNNNNNNNNNNNNNNNNNNNNNNNNNNNNNNNNNNNNNNNNNNNNNNNNNNNNNNNNNNNNNNNNNNNNNNNNNNNNNNNNNNNNNNNNNNNNNNNNNNNNNNNNNNNNNNNNNNNNNNNNNNNNNNNNNNNNNNNNNNNNNNNNNNNNNNNNNNNNNNNNNNNNNNNNNNNNNNNNNNNNNNNNNNNNNNNNNNNNNNNNNNNNNNNNNNNNNNNNNNNNNNNNNNNNNNNNNNNNNNNNNNNNNNNNNNNNNNNNNNNNNNNNNNNNNNNNNNNNNNNNNNNNNNNNNNNNNNNNNNNNNNNNNNNNNNNNNNNNNNNNNNNNNNNNNNNNNNNNNNNNNNNNNNNNNNNCCACUCCAUUCACUCCGCCAAAGCCGCCCUCCCCACGGCGCUGAUACGUCGGCGCCGCGGUUCGUCGAGGGGAUGCACGACGAUCCUCUCGCUCCCACAGUACGCUCUCGUAGACUGCCGUCCUCGAGCCGCGCCGCCACCGCUGGCGAUGUUCUUGUGGAGGCGCACGGCGGUCAGCACCGCCACCGCUGGCGACAUUCGUGUGGAGACGCACGGCAGUCAGCUUCUCCCACGGUACACACAUUCUAGACUGAGGCCCCGUGCAUGUCGGUGUAGCGCUGAAUGUUAGCUGAUCGACACUGUUAAUCUCACUGUUUGCCGAAGUAGUUUACAGUCAAUAUGCUCUGCUUAAGAAGCUUCCUUGCCCUAUUCUGCACUCAAUCUGCUUAGCUGAGAUGGCAUGCCAAGCCCGAUUAGUUGCUAAAAUAUCCUGCCAUAUAUUUAUUGUGACAUAGAUUUCCAUGAUCUAGUAGCUAAUCUGUUAGGUGAAAUAGCUCUACACCGUUUUAUACUCGAUCUUUGUUGCUGCGAUGGCUUUCAAUAGUUCGAUGGCUGUGUGCUCGGCCUCAUUGACUGCUGAAACAGCCUGCCAUAAUUUAGCACUCAAAUCUGUUUGUUGAAUUAGCUUUAAAUAUAUUUCGUUACUUAGAUUUGCUCGUCCAAAUAUUUUGCCAUAGCUUUAGACAUCGAACUAGGUAUUUUUUCUGGACUUCAAAAAAAGCGUAUGUGUUUUUCCUGCAAUAUCUAGUAGAAGAACUAAUUUGUAUGUCUAACAGAUGGACAGGACUUGGAUAACUUCUGCUCGAAGAUUCUCCGCUGCAUAUGUCGAGGGGGUUGAAAACUUCAUGAACUUUAUCAGAGUUGAGUACGGUGGUCCAAAAUCAGAUGUGCUCGGUCCGUGUAGCAGUUGUAUGAAUUCAGUUACAAGACCCCAGUCAACUGUGGAAAAUCAUCUACACUUGUAUGGGAUGUCGGUCACAUAUACUAGGUGGGUUCAUCAUGGUGAAGCUGUGAACGUCAAUGUUACUAACUACGUGGAAGCAGCAGAUCACCAUCUUGAUCUGCCUGAUGCUCGGGUGGAAGAGGAGGAGGAGGAGGAGGAGGUGGUGGCGGAGCCAGUGAGUUUGACCAACAUUGAAACAAUGCUACGAAAUGCUUGUGCAUUUCGUGAACUUUCACCUGCAGAAGAAAAACGGUGGGCCCGCAUGUUGGAACAAUGCAACGUGGCUGUCACCCAGGAAAUAAGCUAUCAUUAUUCUCAGCUAUGGUCACCUUUCUUCAGGUGAAGACAUCUAAGCGGAUGACCAACAAAUCAUUCGAUGCGAUGUUGGCUGCUUUCCGCAAAGCUUUCCCAGAUGCGUCUGAGCUGCCACACACCUACAGUAAAAUGAAGAAUUUCCUUCGCGUAGUUGGAAUUGGAUAUGAUAUGAUCCAUGUUUGUAAGAAUAAUUGUGUUCUGUUCCGGAAGGAUUAUGCCAACUUAAGUGAAUGCCCGAAAUGCAAAUCAUCAAGAUGGAAAGAUGGCGAUGCUGUGAACAGGAUUCCUCAUAAUGUUCUGAGACAUUUUCCAAUUACACCAAGAUUGCAGAGGUUGUUUCAUGAUGGUGAAAAAAAAGAGGAUGUACUGUGGCAUUCUAGGAACCAGGAGUACAAAGAUCAGAAUGUAAUGAGCCAUCCAUCACAUGGUAGUGAGUGGAAAAGCUUCAAUCAGAAAAACAAAAAGUUUGUUGCUGACCCGAGAAACAUUAGACUUGGCUUAGCUUCAGAUGGAUUUAACCCAUUUGGCCACCAGAGCGCCACAUAUAGCAUGUAGCCAGUGCUUGUUAUCCCUUACAACAUUCCUCCAAAUGUCUGCACCAAAGAAUCAAACUACAUGAUGGCCUUGCUCAUCCCAGGUCCAAAAAGUCCUGGAAAGGAUUUUGAUUUAUUCAUGGGGCCUCUUGUGGAGGAACUUCAACAGCUAUGGAGGGGUGUUCUCACUCGAGACCUAUAUAGCAGCCCACCAUCUGAUUUCUUUCUGGGUGCUGUUAUAAUUUGGUGCAUCCAUGAUUAUUCGGCUUUGGGCACUAUGUCAGGGCAAACAACACAUGGUUACAAUACAUGUGUUCGCUGUGACAGGAAUCCGCUGUCAUACGCAAUACCUAGCAAGAUCUGUUACAUUGGACACUGCCGUUCCUUGCCAAGGACAAGCCGCGUCCUACAAAAUACCGAAGACAUGUGUUCAAUGCAAAGCAUGAAAACCGCGAUGUGCCAAAGAGGCUCACCGCCGAUGAGUUGCAAGUGGAAUUAGAGAAUGUCAGGCAUAUUACACCAAGAAACCAUCCUGGUAAUGGUAGCGGGAAAAGGAAGCAUGGCAGGGCAGAAGAGAGAUUAUUGUUUACCUGCAGGUCCACUUUGUGGGACUUGGAGUGUUGGAAAGAUUUGGAUCUGCGGCAUAAUCUUGAUGUGAUGCACAUCGAGAAAAAUAUAUGUGACAGCAUUAUCGGCAGACUUCUUAAUAUUGAAGGAAAGACGAAAGAUACCUUAAAAUCUAGGAUUGAUUUGACACACCUGGGUAUCAGAAAGGAUUUGCAGGUGUAAGAUGAAGGUGAACCACGGGAUAUGGCACCAUCUGUGUACGUUUUGGACAAGGCAAAAAGAAAAGAAUUCUGCGAGGUCCUGUCACAUGUGAGAUUCACACAUGGAUUUGCUUCCAACCCUGGAAGGAGGGUCAGUGCAGAUGGAAACAAGGUACAAGGGUUGAAAACUCAUGACUGCCACGUCCUAGUUCAAAGGGUUUUACCUGUUAUCCUUAGAGGAAGGGGCUGCUCUGACUUAUACAGAGCAGUUGCAGGGUUGGGACAAUUCUUCAGGGAACUCUGCAGUAGAAAUAUUAUGGUAGAUGCUUUGGAGCGUAUUAGAGACAAGAUACCAACUAUCCUAUGCGACCUUGAGAAGAUAUAUCCUCCAGCCUUCUUUGAUCUGAUGGUGCAUUUGGCUGUUCAUCUACCUGAUGAGGCACUACUUAGAGGUCCAGUACAGUAUGGCUGGAUGUACCCUAUUGAAAGGCGGCUCGACACUUUCAAGGGCUAUGUUAGGAACAGACCUAGACCCGAGGGUUCCAUUGCAGAGGCCUAUAUUGCUACAGAAGCGUUGACAUUCUGCUCAAAAUACAUUGAAACAGCUAAUCAACUUAGCAAAGAGGUGGGUGAAGACAAUCCCGGGCUCAAUGUUUUCGAUUAUUCUGUUUGAGUUACAGGGAAGAGUCGACAAGAGGACAAACCUAUUGAUUUGGAUAAAAUGGAUUGGUAUGUGUUGAAUAACUGUCCUAAGAUACUACCUUAUAUCAAGUAAGUGCUAAGUACUGCAGCUUAUACAUCGUAAUCUACUAAACUUGCAGCACAUUCUUAUAUAUUUAGAUGUUUGAUGCGAUCACUAUGUUGUGCAGCAUCUACAAAAAGGAGUUACUGCCGCAAAAUCCAAGAAACAUUGACAAACUGGUUAUGGCAGGAUUUGCGAAAUGGUUCAGGAGCCAUGUAAGCUUUUGAAUUGCACUAUCAGUUUUUUAAUAUAUUGAGUACAUAAGAUGAUCAGCUUGUCUAUUUUCUAACCAUAGGUUAAGAAGAUGCAGGAGGAUGGGAAGGCGGUUGAUGAUGCCCUUUACGCACUAGCAAUGGGUCCUGAUACUCGGGUAAGACAUUAUGAAUCUUGCGUUGUUGGAGAUGUGCGCUACAACACCCUUGCACACGACGAAGGCAGGAAGACACAAAACAGUGCCAUCAUGAGCACGGAUAUGUACGACAGAGAGACAACUGAAAUGUAUGCUAACAUAACAGACAUUGUUCAUCUGAAGUAUAUCUCCAGUUUCGAGGAUCAUCGGUGUGUGGUUCUGUUGUGUUGUCGUUGGUAUAACCUGUUUUCCAGGAUCGCAAAACCUAGAGCUAAUGAUUAUUUCAAAUCCAUCAAUGUCAAGGCGGCGUACCAGACCAACGAGCCUUUUAUUUUGGCAAAUCAAGCAACACAGAUAUUUUUCUUGGAAGACACAUUUGCACGUAGUGAUGACUGGAGAGUAUUGCAAAAGGUUUGAGCAGAGGAAUUCAUUUAAUGAAGUUGCACAACAAGAUGAUGCUUACGCUGCUCCUGAUGUACAAGAUUCCACAGAUGUUCCUAAUAUCUUUGAGAACCUUCACGUCAAUGACGCUGGCGAAAAGAUUGCCUGUCGUGCUGUGGACAUACAAGAGUUGAUCAAGACAAAGCCAACGUUCGAGGACAUUGAGGAUGAAGAAGAAGAUGACACUGUGGGGACUUAUGAUUCAGACUGAUACACAGGGCGAAGAUGUUGACGCUGCUGCUGCGGAUGAUGAUUAGAUUGCUUUUGUCGUAUUUGCCUGUCAGAAGAUGUUUUUUAUCUACUAUGUGAAAUUGUGUUUGCUAUGACAAUUGAAACCUGAUGAACGUGUUGUUUAGUAUUUUGCUGUGAGAACAUCACUUGUUAUGUAUGUUCAUUUGUGUUUGGUGACUGUAUGACGACUAAAACAUGAUGACAUUGUUGUUUAGUUGUACUCAUAUUUGGCUGUGGAGCUUGAAUUUGAUGACAUAGUUUGCUGUUGGAAUGCAAUUUGCUCGACGUCUUCGAAUGGGAACAAAGCUGACCCGACAGGGCCUCUGCUAAUUUAUUUAUUUAUUACCAAAAGGGCCUAUUCUAUUUAUUAAUUUAUGAGCAAAAGGGGAUACCCCCCGAUUUCUAUUAAUAGAAAUCAUUAGAUGUUCACAACACUACGCCCAGCCUGCUACACAGGUUUCAUUCAUUACUAGCUUCAGCAAAGUGCUCAUGUCAUAGCCACUGAAUACAUCACGAGUGCUACAUACACUGCAAAUAACGAGACAAUCAUCCUACAGAGCACAACGAUUUUGCCCAUUAUCUUCACAAGCUCUUUCAUCUCCUCAUUGCUGUCAAGGCCAUUCAGCAGCUGUUGCUUGGCCAUGUUCAGAGGAACUGCAUCUUUAACCUUCUGCUCUGCAUCUUCCUCUUCUGCCAUUCCUUUAGUUACUUUUCCAACACCCAACCUGCUGGUAUUGGGAUUCCUCGGCUAACCAAAUAAUCAGCGUAGUUGCGUUCCCCCACAUCAGCAACUUCCCAGAAAUACAAAUCACCCGAAUCUUCCCGUUUCUGCAUGAAUCAAAUUGGAAGAUCAUCAACUAAACUAUUAAAAAUAUCAGCAACUGAAAGCAGCAGAACAACACUUAAACAUAUUAUUACCCCAUGAUUCGGGCAUUUGUAGAAGACUCGGCCAGGGUUGAGGAUUGUGGUUGAGACGCGACGGAUAACUCUGCGUGAUUUGCAGCAGUGGCACCACACCAACGGCAGCGGGUUACGAUGAGAAACCGGCUGCGGUGCGUGUGCCGGCGGGGGUGUGAUGAGACCCACAGGCGAUGGUACGGGUGGCUGAAGGAAAUAUGCCCUAGUGGCAAUAAUAAAGUUAUUAUUUAUUUCCUUAUAUCAUGAUAAAUGUUUAUUAUUCAUGCUAGAAUUGUAUUAACCGGAAACUUGAUACAUGCGUGAAUACAUAGACAAACAGAGUGUCACUAGUAUGCCUCUACUUGACUAGCUCGUUGAUCAAAGAUGGUUAUGUUUCCUAGCCAUAGACAUGUGUUGUCAUUUGAUUAACGGGAUCACAUCAUUAGGAGAAUGAUGUGAUUGACUUGACCCAUUCCAUUAGCUUAGCACUUGAUCAUUUAGUAUGUUGUUAUUGCUUUCUUCAUGACUUAUACAUGUUCCUAUGACUAUGAGAUUAUGCAACUCCCGUUUACCGGAGGAACACUUUGUGUGCUACCAAACGUCACAACAUAACUGGGUCAUUAUAAAGGUGCUCUACAGGUGUCUCCGAAGGUACUUGUUGGGUUGGCGUAUUUCGAGAUUAGGAUUUGUCACUCCAAUUGUCGGAGAGGUAUCUCUGGGCCCUCUCGGUAAUGCACGUCACUUAAGCCUUGCAAGCAUUGCAACUAAUGAGUUUGUUGCGAGAUGAUGUAUUACAGAACGACUAAAGAGACUUGCCGGUAACGAGAUUGAACUAGGUAUUAAGAUACCGACGAUCGAAUCUCGGGCAAGUAACAUACCGAUGACAAAGGGAACAACGUAUGUUGUUAUGCGGUCUGACCGAUAAAUUACUUCGUAGAAUAUGUGGGAGCCAAUAUGAGCAUCCAGGUUCCGCUAUUGGUUAUUGACCGGAGACGUGUCUCGGUCAUGUCUACAUAGUUCUCGAACCCGUAGGGUCCGCACGCUUAACGUUACGAUGACAGUUAUAUUAUGAGUUUAUAUGUUUUGAUGUACCGAAGGUUGUUCGGAGUCCCGGAUGUGAUCACGGACAUGACGAGGAGUCUCGAAAUGGUCGAGACAUAAAGAUUGAUAUAUUGGACGACUAUAUUCGGACACCGGAAAUGUUCCGGGUGAUUUCGGAGAAAACCGGAGUGCCGGAGGGUUACUGGAACCCCCCCCGGGAGAAGUAAUGGGCCUUAUGGGCCUUAGUGGAGAGAGAGAGGGGCAGCCAGGAGGGGCCGCCCCCCUGGUCCGAAUUGGACUAGGAGAGGGGGGGCGGCGCCCCCCUUUCCUUCUCCCUCUCCCCCUUCCUUUCCCCCUCCUAGUAGGAGUAGGAAAGAGGGGAGUCCUACUCCUACUAGGAGGAGGACUCCUCCUCCUCGCGUGCCAACAAGGGCCGGCCGGCCUCCCCCUUGAUCCUUUAUAUACGGGGAAGGGGGCACCCCAUAGACACAACAAUUGAUCUAUUGAUCUCUUAGCCGUGUGCGGUGCCCCCUCCACCAUAUUACACCUCGAUAAUAUCGUAGCGGUGCUUAGGCGAAGCCCUGCGUCGGUAGAACAUCAUCAUCUUCACCACGCCGUCGUGCUGACGAAACUCUCCCUCAACACUCGGCUGGAUCGGAGUUCGAGGGACGUCAUCGAGCUGAACGUGUGCUGAACUCGGAGGUGCCGUGCGUUCGGUACUUGAUCGGUCGGAUCGUGAAGACGUACGACUAGAUCAACCACGUUGUGUUAGCGCUUCCUCUUUCGGUCUACGAGGGUACGUGGACAACACUCUCCCCUCUCGUUGCUAUGCAUCACCUUGAUCUUGCGUGUGCGUAGGAAAACUGUUGAAAUUACUACGUUCCCCAACAGUGGCAUCAGAGCCUGGUUUUUUGCGUUGAUGUUAUGCACGAGUAGAACACAAGUGAGUUGUGGGCGAUUGAGUCAUACUGCUUACCAGCAUGUCAUACUUUGGUUCAGCGGUAUUGUGAUAUGAAGCGGCCCGGACCGACAUUACGCGUACGCUUACGCGAGACUGGUUUCACCGUUGCGAGCACUCAUUGCUUAAAGGUGACCGGCGGGUGUCUGUCUCUCUCACUUUAGUUGAACCGCGUGUGGCUACACCCGGUCCUUGCGAAGGUUAAAACAGCACCAACUUGACAAACUAUCGUUGUGGUUUUGAUGCGUAGGUAAGAACGGUUCUUGCUAAGCCCGUAGCAGCCACGUAAAACUUGCAACAACAAAGUAGAGGACGUCUAACUUGUUUUUGCAGGGCAUGUUGUGAUGUGAUAUGGUCAAGACAUGAUACUGAAUUUUAUUGUAUGAGAUGAUCAUGUUUUGUAACCGAGUUAUCGGCAACUGGCAGGAGCCAUAUGGUUGUCGCUUUAUUGUAUGCAAUGCAAUCGCCAUGUAAUGCUUUACUUUAUCACUAAGCGGUAGCGAUAGUCGUAGAAGCAUAAGAUUGGUGAGACGACAACGAUGCUACGAUGGAGAUCAAGGUAUCGCGCCGGUGACGAUGGUGAUCAUGACGGUGCUUCGGAGAUGGAGAUCACAAGCACAAGAUGAUGAUGGCCAUAUCAUAUCACUUAUAUUGAUUGCAUGUGAUGUUUAUUUUUUAUGCAUCUUAUCUUGCUUUGAUUGACGGUAGCAUUAUAAGAUGAUCCUUCACUAAAUUAUCAAAGUAUAACUGUUCUCCCUGAGUAUGCACCGUUGCGAAAGUUCUUCGUGCUGAGACACCACGUGAUGAUUGGGUGUGAUAGGCUCUACGUUCAAAUACAACGGGUGCAAAACAGUUGCACACGCGGAAUACUCAGGUUAAACUUGACGAGCCUAGCAUAUAACAGAUAUGGCCUCGGAACACGGAGACCGAAAGGUCGAGCGUGAAUCAUAUAGUAGAUAUGAUCAACAUAGUGAUGUUCACCGUUGAAACUACUCCAUCUCACGUGAUGAUCGGACAUGGUUUAGUUGAUAUGGAUCACGUGAUCACUUAGAGGAUUAGAGGGAUGUCUAUCUAAGUGGGAGUUCUUAAGUAAUAUGAUUAAUUGAACUUGAAUUUAUCAUGAACUUAGUACCUGAUAGUAUUUUGCUUGUCUAUGUUAAUUGUAGAUAGAUGGCCUGUGCUGUUGUUCCGUUGAAUUUUAAUGCGUUCCUUGAGAAAGCAAAGUUGAAAGAUGAUGGUAGCAAUUACACGGACUGGGUCCGUAACUUGAGGAUUAUCCUCAUUGCUGCACAGAAGAAUUACGUCCUGGAAGCACCGCUGGGUGCCAGGCCUGCUGCAGGAGCAACACCAGAUGUUAUGAACGUCUGGUAGAUCAAAGCUGAUGACUACUCGAUAGUUCAGUGUGCCAUGCUUUACGGCUUAGAACGGGGUCUUCAACGACGUUUUGAAUGUCAGGGAGCAUAUGAGAUGUUCCAUGAGUUGAAGUUAAUAUUUCAAGCAAAUGCCCGGAUUGAGAGAUAUGAAGUCUCCAAUAAGUUCUACAGCUGCAAGAUGGAAGAGAAUAGUUCUGUCACUGAGCAUAUACUCAAAAUGUCUGGGUAUAACAAUCACUUGAUUCAACUGGGAGUUAAUCUUCCGGAUGAUAGCGUCAUUGACAGAAUUCUUCAAUCACUGCCACCAAGCUACAAGAGCUUCAUGAUGAACUAUAAUAUGCAAGGGAUGAAUAAGACGAUUCCCGAGCUCUUCGCAAUGCUAAAGGCUGCGGAGAUAGAAAUCAAAAAGGAGUAUCAAGUGUUGAUGGUCAAUAAGACCACUAGUUUCAAGAAAAAGGGUAAAGGGAAGAAGAAGGGGAACUUCAAGAAGAACAGCAAACAAGUUGCUGCUCAGGAGAAGAAACCCAAGUCUGGACCUAAGCCUGAGACUGAGUGCUUCUACUGCAAGCAGACUGGUCACUGGAAGCAGAACUGCCCCAAGUAUUUGGCGGAUAAGAAGGAUGGCAAGGUGAACAAAGGUAUAUGUGAUAUACAUGUUAUUGAUGUGUACCUUACUAAUGCUCGCAGUAGCACCUGGGUAUUUGAUACUGGUUCUGUUGCUAAUAUUUGCAACUCGAAACAGGGGCUACGGAUUAAGCAAAGAUUGGCUAAGGACAAGGUGACGAUGCGCGUGGGAAAUGGUUCCAAAGUCGAUGUGAUCGCGGUCGGCACGCUACCUCUACAUCUACCUUCGGGAUUAGUUUUAGACCUAAAUAAUUGUUAUUUGGUGCCAGCGUUAAGCAUGAACAUUAUAUCUGGAUCUUGUUUGAUGCGAGACGGUUAUUCAUUUAAAUCGGAGAAUAAUGGUUGUUCUAUUUAUAUGAGUAAUAUCUUUUAUGCUCAUGCACCCUUGAAGAGUGGUCUAUUUUUGUUGAAUCUCGAUAGUAGUGAUACACAUAUUCAUAAUAUUGAAGCCAAAAGAUGCAGAGUUGACAAUGAUAGUGCAACUUAUUUGUGGCACUGCCGUUUAGGUCAUAUCGGUGUAAAGCGCAUGAAGAAACUCCAUACUGAUGGACUUUUGGAACCACUUGAUUAUGAAUAACUUGGUACUUGCGAACCGUGCCCCAUGGGCAAGAUGACUAAAACACCGUUCUCCGGAACUAUGCAGAGAGCAACAGAUUUGUUGGAAAUCAUACAUACAGAUGUAUGUGGUCCGAUGAAUAUUGAGGCUCGUGGUGGAUAUCGUUAUUUUCUCACCUUCACAGAUGAUUUGAGCAGUAUGGGUAUAUCUACUUAAUGAAACAUAAGUCUGAAACAUUUGAAAAGUUCAAAGAAUUUCAGAGUGAAGUUGAAAAUCAUCGUAACAAGAAAAUAAAAUUUCUACGAUCUGAUCGUGGAGGAGAAUAUUUGAGUUAUGAGUUUGGUCUUCAUUUGAAACAAUGCAGAAUAGUUUCGCAACUCACGCCACCCGGAACACCACAGCGUAAUGGUGUGUCCGAACGUCAUAAUCGUACUUUACUAGAUAUGGUGCGAUCUAUGAUGUCUCUUACUGAUUUACCGCUAUCGUUUUGGGGUUAUGCUUUGGAGACGGCUGCAUUCACGUUAAAUAGGGCACCAUCAAAAUCCGUUGAGACGAUGCCUUAUGAACUGUGGUUUGGCAAGAAACCAAAGUUGUCGUUUCUUAAAGUUUGGGGCUGUGAUGCUUAUGUGAAAAAACUUCAACCUGAUAAGCUCGAACCCAAAUCGGAGAAAUGUGUCUUCAUAGGAUACCCAAAGGAGACUAUUGGGUACACCUUCUAUCACAGAUCCGAAGGCAAGACAUUCGUUGCUAAAAAUGGAUCCUUUCUAGAGAAGGAGUUUAUCUCGAAAGAAGUGAGUGGGAGGAAAGUAGAACUUGAUCAGGUAACUGUACCUGCUCCCUUAUUGGAAAGUAGUUCAUCACAGAAACCAGUUUCUGCGACACCUACGCCAAUUAGUGAGGAAGUUAAUGAUGAUGAUCAUGAAACUUCAGAUCAAGUUAUUACUGAACCUCGUAGAUCAACCAGAGUAAGAUCCGCACCAGAGUGGUACGGUAAUCCUGUUCGGGAGGUUAUGUUACUAGACCAUGACGAAUCUACGAACUAUGAAGAAGCGAUGGUGAGCCCAGAUUCCGCAAAAUGGCUUGAGGCCAUGAAAUCCGAGAUGGGAUCCAUGUAUGAGAACAAAGUAUGGACUUUGGUUGACUUGCCCGAUGAUCGGCAAGCCAUUGAAAAUAAAUGGAUCUUCAAGAGGAAGACGGACGCUGAUAGUAGUGUUACUAUCUACAAAGCUAGAAUUGUCGCAAAAAGGUUUUCGACAAGUUCAAGGUGUUGACUACGAUGAGAGUUUCUCACUCGUAUCUAUGCUUAAGUCUGUCCGAAUCAUGUUAGCAAUUGCCGCAUUUUAUGAAAUCUAGCAAAUGGAUAAACAAAACUGCAUUCCUUAAUGGAUUUAUUAAAGAAGAGUUGUAUAUGAUGCAACCAGAAGGUUUUGUCAAUCCUAAAGGUGCUAACAAAUAUGCAAGCUCCAGCAAUCCAUCUAUGGACUGGUGCAAGCAUCUCGGAGUUGGAAUAUACGCUUUGAUAAGUUGAUCAAAGGAUAUAGUUUUAUACAGACUUUCGGUGAAGCCUGUAUUUACAAGAAAGUGAGUGGGAGCACUACAACAUUUCUGAUAAGUAUAUGUGAAUGACAUAUUUUUGAUCGGAAAUAAUGUAGAAUUAUUCUGCAAAGCAUAAAGGAGUGUUUGAAAAGAGUUUUUCAAAGAAAGACCUCGGUGAAGCUGCUUACAUAUUGAGCAUCAUGAUCUAUAGAGAUAGAUCAAGACGCUUGAUAAGUUUUUUCAAUGAGUACAUACCUUAACAAGAUUUUGAAGUGGUUCAAAAUGGAACAGUCAAAGAAAGAGUUUCUUGCAUGAGUUACAAGGUGUGAAAUUGAGUAAGACUCAAAGCCCGACCACAGCAGAAGAUAGAAAAAGAAUGAAAGGCAUUCCCUAUGCCUCGGCCAUAGGUUCUAUAAAGUAUGCCAUGCUGUGUACCAGAUCUAUUGUAUACCCUACACUGAUUUUGGCAAGGGAGUACAAUAGUGAUCUAGGAGUAGAUCACUGGACAGCGGUCAAAAUUAUCCUUACUGGAUUAAGGAUAUGUUUCUCGAUUAUGGAAGUGACAAAAGGUUCAUCGUAAAGGGUUACGUCGAUGCAAGUUUUGACACUAAUCUAGAUGACUCUAAGUCUCGGUCUAGAUACAUAUUGAAAGUGGGAGCAAUUAGCUGGAGUAGCUCCGUGCAGAGCAUUGUAGACAUAGAAAUUUGCAAAAUACUUACGGAUCUGAAUGUGACAGACCCGUUGACUAAAAUUAUCUCACAAGCAAAACAUGAUCACACCUUAGUACUCUUUGGGUGUUAAUCACAUAACGAUGUGAACUAGAUUACUGACUCUAGUAAACCCGUUGGGUGUUGGUCACAUAACGAUGUGAACUAUGGGUGUUAAUCACAUGGUGAUGUGAACUAUUGAUGUUAAAUCACAUGGCGAUGUGAACUAGAUUAUUGACUCUAGUGCAAGUGGGAGACUGAAGGAAAUAUGCCCUAGAGGCAAUAAUAAAGUUAUUAUUUAUUUCCUUAUAUCAUGAUAAAUGUUUAUUAUUCAUGCUAGAAUUGUAUUAACCGGAAACUUGAUACAUGUGUGAAUACAUAGACAAACAGAGUGUCACUAGUAUGCCUCUACUUGACUAGCUUGUUGAUCAAAGAUGGUUAUGUUUCCUAGCCAUAGACAUGAGUUGUCAUUUGAUUAACGGGAUCACAUCAUGAGGAGAAUGAUGUGAUUGACUUGACCCAUUCCGUUAGCUUAGCACUUGAUCGUUUAGUAUGUUGCUAUUGCUUUCUUCAUGACUUAUACAUGUUCCUAUGACUAUGAGAUUAUGCAACUCCCGUUUACCGGAGGAACACUUUGUGUGCUACCAAACGUCACAACGUAACUGGGUGAUUAUAAAGGUGCUCUACAGGUGUCUCCGAAGGUACUUGUUGGGUUGGCGUAUUUCGAGAUUAGGAUUUGUCACACCAAUUGUCGGAGAGGUAUCUCUGGGCCCUCUCGGUAAUGCACGUCACUUAAGCCUUGCAAGCAUUGCAACUAAUGAGUUUGUUGCGAGAUGAUGUAUUACAGAACGAGUAAAGAGACUUGCCGGUAACGAGAUUGAACUAGGUAUUAAGAUACCGACGAUCGAAUCUCGGGCAAGUAACAUACCGAUGACAAAGGGAACAACGUAUGUUGUUAUGCGGUCUGACCGAUAAAGAUCUUCAUAGAAUAUGUGGGAGCCAAUAUGAGCAUCCAGGUUCCGCUAUUGGUUAUUGACCAGAGACGUGUCUCGGUCAUGUCUACAUAGUUCUCGAACCCGUAGGGUCCGCACGCUUAACGUUACGAUGACAGUUAUAUUAUGAGUUUAUAUGUUUUGAUGUACCGAAGGUUGUUCGGAAUCCCAGAUGUGAUCACGGACAUGACGAGGAGUUUCGAAAUGGUCGAGACAUAAAGAUUGAUAUAUUGGACGACUAUAUUCGGACACAAGAAAUGUUCCGGGUGAUUUCGUAGAAAACCGGAGUGCCGGAGGGUUACCGGAACCCCCCCCCCCCGGGAGAAGUAAUGGGCCUUAUGGGCCUUAGUGGAGAGAGAGAGAGGGGCAGCCAGGAGGGGCCGCGCGCCCCCUCCCCCUCUGGUCCGAAUUGGACUAGGAGAGGGGGGCGGCGCCCCCCUUUCCUUCUUCCUCUCCCCCUUCCUUUCCCCCUCCUAGUAGGAGAAGGAAAGAGGGGAGUCCUACUCCUACUAGGAGGAGGACUCCUCCUCCUCGCGCGCCAACAAGGGCCGGCCGGCCUCCCCCUUGCUCCUUUAUAUACGGGGAAGGGGGGCACCCCAUAGACACAACAAUUGAUCUAUUGAUCUCUUAGCCGUGUGCGGUGCCCCCCUCCACCAUAUUACACCUCGAUAAUAUCGUAGCGGUGCUUAGGCGAAGCCCUGCGUCGGUAGAACAUCAUCAUCGUCACCACGCCGUCGUGCUGACGAAACUCUCCCUCAGCACUCGGCUGGAUCGGAGUUCGAGGGACGUCAUCGAGCUGAACGUGUGCUGAACUCAGAGGUGCCGUGCGUUCGGUACUUGAUCGGUCGGAUCGUGAAGACGUACGACUACAUCAACCGCAUUGUGUUAACGCUUCCGCUUUCGGUCUACGAGGGUACGUGGACAACACUCUCCCCUCUCGUUGCUAUGCAUCACCAUGGUCUUGCGUGUGCGUAGGAAAACUGUUGAAAUUACUACGUUCCCCAACAGUGGCGACUUGGCGCAUAUCUGGUUGUUGCCUGCUGAAGAGCAGGUGGACGAGCAGCUAGCGGACAUGGUUGUUGUGGCCAGAGCUUCUGAUGCUAGGCAGAGUAAGUAGAGAAGAGGAGAAGCGUACGUUGGACAUGUCAGUUUCAUUACUUGCAGAGUAGCAUAGCACCAUAUAUAGACAUAGUCUAGGUUUGGAUUCGAACCAGCUACAGGAGCACGUCUCUCUUUUUUCUAAAACUCGGCAAUGUCUCUUUACUCGUACACUAGCUUGUUCUGUACACCUUCUCAAGUCUUUGAUUUUCUUUCUUUUUUCGCGAGGAAGGAAGGAGGACAAAAUUGAGAUUUCCUGGGACUCGAACCCAAACCUCUCGGUUGAAAACCAAGGGUGCUAGUCACUUAUGUGGCGAACGUUCCCUGGGAGGAGGAUGGCAGACGAACGCAUUUUCCUCACAGUUUUAGUUGCGAUGCAAGAUCGAACGGUCGCAGUUUCGAGAAUAUUAUCAGGCGAACGAGCCCAGUUUUUCUUUUCUUCCUAUAUAUAAAAAAGUAUGCUACUUGGUGUCAGCUUAGUCAACAAACGAUUGUUCCGACCUUGACCACUGGAUUGACAUUCAACGUCUGUCGUGUUUCUUCAGUCUCUUCUUCCUCCAGCCGCCAAAGCCAAACCAGCACCGGCGGGACCGCCUGCUCCCGCCUCCCAUGGCUGGCUGUGCUGCCGAGCACACAUUGUGGGCACAUCGCACCCUAAAACACUGCGCAUCUUCCCCGGCUCCUGUUCGUUCCCGUCCGAGGCACCUUGGUUCGCUCGCCGCGGCGCCGCCCUCCGGUGUUGUCAACAUGGUCAACAACCGAGAGGAAUAAGGAGAUGACUGUACAUGGUGAGGAUGACAGUAGGGACCCAGCAGCGCGUGCAGUAAUUUUGUUUUUUCAGGACGGGCAAGGGUAUCAACUGGGUUGUUCGGAGUUGUGGCCCGUCUAGCACAUGACCAGCCAAGUUUGUUUUUUUCCUUUCUGAAAAUGGCUAGCCCAGCUAUUUUGUUUUUUUCAGAAUAACCAACGUAGGCCUACUUGUUUUUCUACGCCCUGCUGGGCCAGAAAUCUUUCAAGACGAGGAGGGAUGCAUUUUGCCCAGAAAAUGGGCUAUAAGUAAUAAGAAAUGGGCUAUAAGUAAUAUUAAAUGGGCUGUAAAAUGAAAAAAUACAGCAAACAUGCAAUUAGUUCCAAAAUACUUUUUUCUUUCGGAUUUUGAUAUUUUAAAUUUCAUUGUUUUUGUGCGGGUAAAAUUUCAUUGGAUUAAGGUAUGUUUAGUGUUUAAAUUAAUUUGAAUCUGGAUAGAAAUUUUGGGCUGUAUGCUGUAUGGGACAGAUUUGGAGGCUGACUUGUGGGUCUACUAGGUUGACGUGUACGAAAGGCUUUGUAUACUUAGUCCACAAACGAUUCUAGCAGCAGUGACCGUUGGAUGUUAAUACAAUAGCCAUGCUACUUCUUCAAUAUCUGAUCUUCUUGGUCCAACCGCCCAAACCAGCGCCGGUGGGACUGCCUGCUCCUGCCUCCCGUGGUCGGCUAUGCUGCCGCACAGGCCGCACCGCCUCACCCUAAUCCAUUGCUGGCCAGGCCAUUCCUCUACUCACCCACACCUCCUGUUAUUUUACGGCGAUGGCAGCCGGACCAGUAAACCCUUGUACUCCCCACCACGUGGGCAACCACUGCCGAGUCUUCCCCGGCUCUGUGUCGUUCCCUUCCUAGGCCUCGCUGUCGUCCACCGCCAUGGUGCUCUCGGCGCGCCGUGGUCAACGUGGUCAACGAACGACAUCCAUCGGACGUGGACUGUACGUGAAGAGGCCGACAGCUGGGUCCACAGCCGCAACAAGGAAGUGCCUCCUUAUUACACGCAAAAUAAUGAUUCCUCCACCUGACAGCCGGGACCCACCGGACGGGCCACCGUAUUUCACAAAAAAAACGUUUCCCCCUGACUGCUAGGACCCACCAGCUACAUCUUCGCAUGCAAGGAAGUGCCUGACAGUCGGGACCCACCUGGUCGAAGCGUACGUAGAGUUGUCAUUCUGGUCGUGAACGUGUACGUACAUACGAUCGGUCUGUCUGGAGGCCGCAGUGAUGAAUCGUGGCCGUGCAAGGAAGGGCAUGUGUCGAGAGGCGUGCACAUGUUGUAGUAGAGGCGCGCACGUAGCAUGUGCACGUACGUACAGCGCCCAGGGUGCAAGAAAGUAAAUACGGCCAUGUACGUACAUACGAGCGGGGUCUCAAACGCCUACUCGCGCAUACGUACGGCCAGGGCUUGUGUACAUUGCUGGGUCGGAACGGAGAAACUGCGUCGUUGUCAUGUUCAUGGGGAUCCAACCGGCUGGGUCGGAACGGAAUGCGUCGUCGUCUUCAUCGGGAGCCAACUGGCUUGGACGGAACAGCCGACGGAAACGAGGCCUGCCGUAUCGCAGAACGGAGGAAACGGCCUUGUGUUCGACCGGCCAUGGUUGCAACGGGAUCAUGUUCAUCAGGAGGGGUCUGGCGUACCGCAAAACAUAGGAAACGGACUUCUCUUGGACCUCCUAUGGUCGAAACGGGGUCCUGUUGACCGGGAGGGGUGUGGCGUACCGCAAAACGGAGGAAACGGACUUGUGUUGGAGCGCUAUGGUCGAAGCGGGGGUCCUGUUCAUCGGGAGGGGUGUGGCGUACUGCAAAUCGGGACUCCACGGGAUACUGUUCAUCUCCACCGUCAACCCUCCUCCAGCCUCCACGGGCUACUGUUCAUCCACCGUCGACCUCCUCCAGCCUCCACCUGCGACUGUUCAUCCACGGGCUCCUGUUCAUCCAGCCUCCACCGCUCCUCCACCGGCUAUUGUUCAACCAGCCCUCUCCACGGGGUCCUGUUCAACCACCCCUCCACGGGCUACUGUUCAUCUAGCCCUCCACCGGCUACUGUUCAACCAGCCCUCCACGGGGUCGCCCUGUUCAUCCAUCCCACCACCGGCUCAAUCGAUCGGGGUCAUGUUCAUCCAGCGGCAACGGCCUCUACUACCACAGGGUCCUGUUCAUCCAACCCCCCACCGGGAACUGUUCAUCCAAACCCCCAACAACGCUCACAGUUCAUCCAGAGGCAGCAUCGAUCGGCUUCAGUUAGCAGCAGUAGCGAAGGAAUCACUCGGGUUCAGUUAACAGCAAGGGAUCAAUCAAUCGCUCGGGUUCAGUGUAACGCGUAGCCUGCAGUGCAAUCGCUCGGGUUCAGUUAGAGCCAACGCCUCGCUCGGGUUCAGUUAGAGCCCAACGCCUCGCACCCACGCGCGUACGUGUACGAGAGAAACGUGCAUCGCUCGGCCCCCGACCACCCAUCGUGACCGGGAACUCCCUGAUAUUUUCCGCGCCCUCGCUUCUACCACGGUUUUUUUCGUCAUGGACGGCCCAAAGAAUGCCAUGCAGCUGCGUCUCUGGCCCGCCCAGGACGAAAAGCCCAUUUUCUGUCAUGAUUUUUUGUCAUAGAAGUAGGACCCCACCACAUCUAUGAUGAUACUUGGUUUUGUCACAAUUAUCGUCAUAGAAGUUUGAUAAGUAUGACAGCAUUUUUUCGUUCGGCCCAAAAUGUCACGGAUGUGUCUUUUUUUGUAGUGUUGUAUGGAGACUUGAACUCCUCCAUCAUGGUCCUUGCCGCAUCCAUCAACGUCCGGUUCUUCCUCUCCGCUACACCAUUUUGUUGAGGGGUGUAUGGUGCGGAGUAUUGAUGCUUGAUCCCCUCAUCACUAAGAAACUCAUCCAAGGUGUAGUUCUUGAACUCGGAGCCAUUGUCACUUCUUAUCGUCAAGAUCUUUGCAUUGUGUUGGCGUUGAGCUUCAUUUUUAAUGUCAAUGACGGUUUGUUGGGUCUCAAUCUUCCUCUUGAAGAAGUAUACCCAAGUGCAUCUUGAAUAAUCAUCCACAAUCACCAAGCAAUACUUUCUACCCCAAGACUAUCAAAGGAUGGAGGCCAGAGAGAUCCAAGUGAAGGAGCUCCAAAGGCCUCUUCAAGUAGAUGAUAGUCGUGGGAGGGUGAGCCUUCUCAUGUAGCUUUCCUUCGAUACAAGCACUGCAAGCACGAUCUUUGGCAAAACUAACAUUUGUUAGUUCACGGACAUGGUCCCCCUUGAGAAGACUUUGCAAAGAUCUCAUAUCUACAUGGGCUAAACGGUGAUGCCAAAGCCACCCCACGUCAACUUUAGCCAUUAGGCAUGUCACGGUAUUAGUGGGUCGCUCCAAAAAGUUAAUCACAUAAAGACCGUUCUCGACAUGCCCAAUAAAGGCUACUUUAAGAGUCUUGCUCCACAAGAGGGCCACUGUAUCAAUAUCAAAGAAAGUGGCAAAGCCCAUGAGUGCAAGUUGACGAACGGAAAGUAAAUUGUAUGCAAGGGACUCAACAAGCAUGACCUUAUCGAUCGUGAGAUCUUGAGAAAUGACAACCUUGCCAAGACCCAAUACCUUAGAAGACGAGGCAUCACCCCACUCGACAUUGGUGGGCAUAGAUGGAAUCUUGUGCACGUCCACCACCAAGUCCUUGCUUUUGGUCAUAUGAUUUAUGGCUCCACUAUCGAGAAACAAUGAUCCUCCACCGGAAGAAAACACCUACAAGAGAUCAAUGCUUGGUUUUAGGUACCCAUUUUCUAAUGGGUCCUUUGAUGUUAGUAACAAGGGUCUUAGGAACCCAAAUAGACCAUUCAAUGUACUCAUAAGGAGAACCAACAAAUUUAGCAUAAACAUGCCCAUCACUAGCACAGCAUAACACAUAAGAAGGGUUAAAGUCGUCGGCUUUGUUGGAAGGGGUGGCAUUGCCCUUCUUGACACCACCGCCCUUCACAUUGUUCUUCUUAUCCUUAGAAGCACCCUCUCCCUCCUUCACAAAAGUUUGCUUGAGAGGAGGAGGUCGUUUGGCCUUGUCAUUCUUCUUCUUGUUCUUGGACUUGGGUGUGAACCCAAUUCCCUUCUUGGCCACAACUUCCUUUUGAUUGCUCAAAAGUUCAUUGAGGUUCUUCUCACCUUGUAUGCAAGACACAAGGCCUUUCUCAAGUUGCUCCUUCAACUUUGCAUUCUCCUCCACAAGAUGCACAUGCUCACAACAUGGGUUAGUAGCAUUUGCGCUACCAAUUAAAACCAUACGAGGAAAAGUGGCUUUCUCCUUGGUUAGCUUCACUUGGAGUUGAUCAUGAGACUCUUUAAGGCUAUCAUGAGUACCUUUCAAGGCCUUGUGAGCCUUGUCAAGUAUAUCAAACUCCUCCUUGAGUCUAGCAAGAUCAACCCCAAGUUUGGCCUUCUCGGAAUUGAGCACACGAGAUACAACAAGAGCAUGAUCAAGAUCUUUGUUGAAUUUAGCAUGGUCAUUGUUGUGUGACUCCUCAAGAGGCAAACGAUGACCACGAUCUUCCUCAAGCGCGUUAGAGAGAUCCGAUAUCUCAUCGGCAUAGUCACGACUAUGCCCCUCCAUUUUAGAGAUGGUUUCUUCGUGAGCCUCGAUCAUGUUAUUGGCUUCACCAAGUUGUUCCAAGAGAGCAACAAAGUGCUUCUUGGAUUUACCCUUGAGCUUACUCAGAAAAGACUCAAAUUCAUUUUCCUCCUUGUUAGACCCCUCACUUUCAUCAAUGCAAUCCGUCAAAGAAGGAUUAGUAAUGUUGGUAGUUUUGAUGUUGGGGGUUACCUUGUUGGUGGCUUUAGCCAUGAGGCACUUGGCGGUGAUGUUCUCAUUGGGUGAGUCGAAGAGGGACACCCGUGGAGUUGUCGCAAUGGCAACGGAGGCCAUGGCAACCGACUCACCGUCAUCAUCAUCAUCAUCAUCAUCCUCAUUGUACUCUUCUUGUGCCACCAACCCCUUGGGAGGAGUCUUCUUGGUGAAGUUGUUCUUGUUGGGGAAGGACUUGGCCUUGUCUUUUCGGAUGAGCUUGCCACCAUUGUCUUCCCUCUUCUCAUAUGCGCACUCCGCAACAAAGUGGCUCACAUUGCCACAAUUAUAGCAAGUCCUCACACGUUGCUUGCCCUUGGCCCCACUUGAGUUGUUCUUGUUGAAGUUGGGCCUUGAGUUCUUCUUGCUCCAAAAUUGCCUUGAAGCGAGAGCCAUGUGCUCAUGAUAAGCAUAUUUUGUAUCUUCGGGGUUACUCUCCUCUUCUUCCUCUUCAUCCUCUUCUUCCACACUAGCCUUGGCCUUCAAGUCAAGGUUGGGCUUCUUUGCUCUUUGAGAACGCAACACCGCAUUGUCGGCGGUCUUGUCCAAGAUCCUCAUCGCCAGAAACUCAUCCAACACUUCACUUGAGGACAAGGUGUGGAAGUCCGGCCUUUGACGGAUGACGGAAGACAUGGCCUUAUGGUAAGGCAUCAUGGCCUUGAGAAACUUGCGCUUGAUCCAAUUGUCAUCCGUAUCCUUGCUCCCAUGAUCUCGGAGUGAGACCGCGAGAGUGGUUAAUCUCCGGUAAAGCUCACGAGGUUCUUCAUUUUUAUUCAUUGCAAACUCAUCGGCUUCAUCUUGCACCACUUCAUAGUUGGAGCGUUGAAUGCUUGCGCUUCCCUUGUAAAUGGAAACAACAUGUUGCCAUGCUUCCUUGGCCACGGUGAAAGGUCGGAGAUGCGCAAUAUCUUCGGAUGGAAUUGCAUCUUGGAUGAUGAAGAGAGCAUUCUCGUUGAAUUGAUGAUCCGCGGCUUCUCUAGGGGUGAAGUUGCUUGGAUCAUGCGGAUAGAAACCAUGCUCAAUGAUUCUCCAAAGAUUAGUAUUAACAUGAUUUAAAUGACGUUUAAAGCGAUAGACCCAAGAGUCAAAAUCCUCAUUUUUCACAAUCUUAGGAGGAGGACCAACAUGAUUCAAAUGAGUGGAGGGAACCGGUCCUCCAUAAGUAAGUGGAGGUUCAACAUGGGCAAAGAUGCCACUUCCAUUUCUACCACUAGAUAAGGGAACUUUGCCACUAGUAGCUUCCCCCUUGUCAGAGUUAGCAUCUGUCACCUUAUUAGCGGGAUCACCCACUUUCAUUGGUGCGGUGGAUAAUUUAAGGCCUUCUAAGAACUUGUUGAACAUGCCUUCAACCUCGGUCAUCAUGGAUGUUUUCAAUGUGUCCAAAGCUGCAUUGAAUUCCUCACGAGAGACCGAGGAUCCUCCAUCGUCCGUAGAUGAGAACAGAUUCACACCGGAGUGCUCCUCCCCACCGUCUACGGCGUCAACCAUACUCUUCGGACGACGAAGUCCUUAAUAAAAAGAUGAGGCUCUGAUACCAAUUGGAAGGAUCGAUAUAGUUGACUAGAGGGGGGAUAGGCAACUAAAUUUUUUUAGCUUUUCUUUACCAAUUUAAACUUUGCAUCAAAGUAGGUUGUCUAGAUAUGCAACUAGGUGAGCAACCUAUAUGAUGCAACAACAACAAGCACACACGCAAGCAAGGGAUACAACACGAUAUAGGCUUGCACAAGUAAAGGUAAGAGAUAACCAAGAGUGGAGCCGGUGAAGACAAGGAUGUGUUACCGAAGUUCCUUCCCUUUGAGAGGAAGUACGUCUUCAUUGGAGCGGUGUGGAGGCACAAUGCUCCCCAAGAAGCCACUAGGGCCACCAUAUUCUCCUCACGCCCUCACACAAUGCGAGAUGCCGUGAUUCCACUAUUGGUGCCCUUGGAGGCGGCGACCGAACCUUUACAAACAAGGUUGGGGCAAUCUCCACAACUUAAUUGGAGGCUCCCAAUGACACCACGAAGCUUCACCACAAUGGAAUAUGGCUCUGCAGUGACCUCAACCGUCUAGGGUGCUCAAACACCCAAGAGUAACAAGAUCCACAAGGGAUUAGUGGGGGGAAUCAAAUGUCUCUUGGUGGAAGUGCAGAUCGGGGCCUUCUCAACCAAUCCCUAGAAAAUAAACAAGUUUGAUUGGCUAGGGAGAGAGAUCGGGCGAAAAUGGAGCUUUGAGCAACAAUGGAGCUUGGGGGAGGAAGAGGUAGUCAACUUGGGGAAGAAGAGCCCCCUUAUAUAGUGUGAGGACAAAUCCAACCGUUACCCACCUACUCAGCCUGCGACAUGCGGUACUACCGCACAUACCCGCGGUGCUACCGCAUAGGCUUGCGUUACUACCGCUGGGAAGUGCGGUACUACCGCUCGCACGGCAGGAGCCAGGUGAGGCCCUGUUGCACAAGGCAACGGGCGGUAGAAUCGCCGGAGCGGUACUACCACGCGCCCUUGCGGUACUACCGCAAGGCAGGGCUCAUCCUGGGCUGGGAAGGCACGGACUAAUAAAAUUACAUCCGUGGCUACUUCCGCUGAGUUUCGGUCAGUGCAAAAAUCCGGCACGGUACUACAGCUCACAGGGAGCGGUACUACCGCGUAGGGUGCAGAAGUAAAAAAUUACUUCCGCCCCUACAUCCGCUCACGCCACCGUAAUGGGCCAGAGGCCACGGUACUACUGCGAUCCAGGAGCGGUACUACCGCACCUGCGAUACUAUCGUGGCCAGCUGCGGUACUACUGCUCCCUUGAGCAGUACUACCGCACGCCACAGACCAGCCGCACUGGGAGGCCAUCAUCUUCACAAUGACAAGGGGAACAACCGGUGCUCCAAUGAUGCGAGGAAAGGUGGUGACAAGGGGAACAACUGGUGCUUUAAUGAAGCGAGGAAAGGUGGUGCAAAGGAACAUAUGUCUACGUGUUGAUUCCACCCUAACCUUUCCGAAGCGGACACCCUCUUAAUAGUACGGCUUUUCUACGACUCAAUUCCACCGAAAAGAAACAUGGAGAAACGCCAUCUUCAAGAAGCUCCAAGGGGCACCGAAUCGUCUUGUGCCUAUAGAUGAGAUAUCUGAAAUGCUCAAUGCACACGAUUAGUCUGCAAAUGCAUUGUCAUCAAUCACCAAAACCACUUAGGGAGAAAUAUGCCCUUACAACACCGACAAAUGGAAAUAAAUGGACAUGAAUAUAAUGUCGGUGAGAAACACGUACUCCCCCAAGCCUAGGCUUUUGGCCUAACUUGGUAAUCAAUCAGUAGCCUGGAGGGUAGUAGGGGUGCUGAGGAGCAGGCAUCCACUCAUCCCACUGCCGAGGUUCUUGUGCUGCCUCCGCAAUAGUCUGAGCGUUCCGGUAGGCGAUGAUGUCUGCAGGCAUAAUCCUAUAUCCGCCCCUGGCAACAGAAUCAAACAAAGCAGGAGCAGGCAAUGGAAUAACAUCACGGGUCCUCUAACUAAAAACCAGGUUAUAUGGAAUAGGGAUGUCAGGAGAUUCGAUAUCAGUAAAAUGGUGGUGAUCCAUGGCGGCACGGUCUAGGUAAACCUUGGUCAGAGGAUAAUCAUGAGGGCAUAUCCCAACAUUAAAGUGGGCCGCCAAACGAGUAGCAUAAAUCCCACCAUGUAUUUUACCCUGAGAUUUAUUAAGGUGAAGGCGGCGAGCCACAAUAGCCCCCAAGCUAUAAGUGUUGUCGCCCUCCAGUGCACGACGUAAAACAGCAAAGUCUGGUGCAUUGAGCGCACCUACUUUCUCUCCAGCAAGCAAACACUUAGCAACAAAUAAAGCAAAAAAUGUAUGGUAGGAAAGUGUAUGCUAGCGGCGGUCGUAGCUGACACCCCUCUCUCAUCUCCCACUUUCAAAGUGCGAUAAAAGGCCUCAAACCCAGCUGGCCUAGGCUCGGCUAAGCUCCCAUCAGAAGGGAUCAUCCAUAUGUCACAAAAUUCAGUAAGUGGUAUCUGAUGGUUUUUAGCAUAUAAAUCAAAGCUCACUUCAGGAGGAUUAUUCCUAGGCAGGAAAGUAAAACUUUGAACAAAGAUGUUUGUGAGGAUUUCAUGCUGGUCACACUCAUCUGCGAUGAACUCGGUGAGGCCGACAUUAGCAGCAUAUUGUGUGAACUCUUGAAGGAUUCCCGCCUCCUCUAGGAACGGGGUGUGCGGCCAUUCACACGGUCGUACUUCCGCCAACCUCCGAGGAUGGAGAUCACUAUCAGAUGACUCCCCAAUAACACCCUUGGAGUUCUUCUUAGAGCCAAACUUCCUAAAUAUAUUCAUGGUUUUCCUAUGAACAAAAUUCUGAAAUUUAUUAGCCCACAAAAUUUUCUCAACAAAACUUGACAAAAACGAUACCAACUACUCAUAGGGAUACAUAGAGGCCAUAGCAAGCAUUCAAACUACUUAAAACUCUAAGAAUUCAACAUGCAAGCUCAUCUACAGCAGCACCAAGAGUAGCUAAUUAUUUCAAAUAUAAACCAUUAAAACAAAAACUAAUUGGACAAAUGGUGGAGUCACAUACCAAGCAACAACCCCCGAAACAGUUUCGGAAACUGAGCUUCGAGAAAAGAGAUCAAAAUCCGCGGGUUUGAGAGCAAGAACACGGGAGGGAGAGCAAUGGAGAUUUUUUUUCUGGAGGUAAGUGAUGAUGUGGAUGAAGAGGUAAGUGAGGGGGCCCACGUGGGGACCACAACCCACCAGGGCGCACCUGGGGGUCCUGGCGCGCCCAGGUGGGUUGUGCCCACCACACCUCCCUCUAAUAUUAUUUGCACCAGAAAUUCAGAAAUAUUCAGAAAAAAUUGUAUUAAAUUUUAGGGGCAUUGUGAGAACUUUUAUUUUUGGGUCAUUUUUUUAUUGCACGGAAAAUUCAGAAAACAGACAAAACAUGGCAUUUUAUUUUAUUUAACUAAUAAAAACAGAGAAUAAAAAGUAAGGACAGAAGGUAGUGCUUACUAAAUUCAUCAACUUCAUACCGCUCAAAAAUGAUUCAUUAAUAAGGUUGAUCAGGUUUUAUUAACAACUACUUUCGAUUAGCAUGAAGCCGAAGAACUUUCGCAAAUCACUAUGUUACCUCAAUGGGGGUAUGAAUGUCCCCAACAAUAAGCAUUUCAUAUUUCUUUUUGACAGUAGGUAGAGGUAUUUUAAAACUUCCAAUAGUGAUUGUCGGAGAUUUUUCAAUAACAUUAAUACCAUUCACUUGGAAUUGUUUCCUCGGAAAGUGCACCGUAUGCUCAUUACCAUUGAUAUGAAAAGUGACCUUGCUUUUAUUGCAAUCAAUAACAGCCCCUGUUGUGUUCACGAAGGGUCUACCAAGGAUAAUCGACAUGUUGUCGUCCUCGGGCAUCUCAAGUAUAACAAAGUCAGUCAAAAUAGUAACAUUAGCAACAACAACGGGCACAUCCUCACAAAUACCGAUAGGUAUGGCAGUUGAUUUGUCAGCCAUUUGCAAAGAUAUUUCAGUAGGUGUGAGUUUAUUCAAAUCAAGUCUUUUAUAUAAAGAGAAAGGCAUAACACUAACACCAGCUCCUAAAUCACAUAAAGCAGUUUUCACAUAAUUCUUUUCGAUAGAGCAAGGUAUAGUUGGUAUUCCCGGAUCUCCUAGUUUUUUAGGUACUCCAUCUUUAAAAGUGUAAUUAGCAAGCAUAGUUGAGAUUUCAGCUUCCGGUAUUUUUCUCUUAUUUGUGAUGAUGUCUUUCAUAUACUUUGCAUAAGGAGGCAUUUUCAAGAUAUCAGUCAAGCGAGUAUGCAAAAAGACUGGCCUCAGCAUUUCAGCAAAGCGUUCAAAUUCUUCAUCAUCUUUCUUUUUAGUUGACUUGGGUGGAAAAGGCAUAGGUUUUUGAACCCACGGUUCUCUUUCUUUACCGUGUUUUCUAGCAAUGAAGUCUCUUUUAUCAUACCUUUUAUAUCUUAGGUUGUGGGUUAUCAAGAUCAACAGGUGGUUCUAUCUCAACAUCAUUAUCUGGUUCUUUUUCAUUUAAUUGAGAGUAUUCAUGAACCUCAUCAUUCUCUUUUUCAUUAUCACUAGGUGAGUGUUCAUUGCCUGAUUGAGUUUCAGCAUCAGAGAUAGAAGUUUCAUUAUCAAUAUCAGGAGGUUUCUCUAUUUCAGAUUCACUAGAAGCAUGCAAAGUCCUAUCAUUUUUCUUUUUCUUUUUCUUUCUAGAAGGACUAGAUGCAUCAGUGUUCACUCUUUGUGAGUCUUGUUCAAUUAUUUUUGGGUGUCCCUCAGGAUAAAGUGGUUCCUGAGUCAUCUUACCUCCUCUAGUUGCAACUCUAACAGCAAAGUCAUGCAUAUUAUUAUUAUUAUUAUUCAUUUCAUCAAACAAUUCUCUUUGUGAUUUAGCAACUUGUUCUAACUGAGUUUGUACCAUAGAAGCAUGCUUUUCAACACCUCUAACAUCAUUUGAGAUUCUAAAUAACAAGUCACUCAAGCGAGCAAUCAUAUCAGAAUUAUAUUUCAAUUGUUUCAUAACAUUUGCAUUGAAGUGAUCUUGUUUUCUAAUAUAGUUUUCAAACUCAUAAAGGCAUUGGCUAGGAUGCAUAUUGUGAGGAUUAUCAUUAUCAUGGAACUUCAUUAGAGAAUUUACCUCUACCACCUUAGGCACUGGUGGUGCAUUAAGCCCAUGUAUUUCUUCAAUAGGAGGUAAAUCUUUAACAUCUUCAGCUUUAAUACCUUUUUCCUUCAUAGAUUUCUUUGCCUCUUGCAUAUCUUCGGGACAGAGAUAUAAUAUACCCCUCUUCUUCUGAGUAGGUUUAGGCGGUGGUUCAGGAAGUGUCCAAUCAUCAUAAUUUUUCAAUAUGUUAUUCAAUAAUUCUUCAGCUUGUCCAACAGUUCGUUCCCUGAAAACACAACCAGCACAACUAUCUAGGAAGUCCCUAGAAGCAUCGGUUAGUCCAUUAUAGAAGAUAUCAAGUAUUUCAUUUUUCUUAAGAGGAUGAUCAGGCAAAGCAUUAAGUAACUGGCAAAGCCUCCCCCAAGCUUGUGGGAGACUCUCUUCUUUAGUUUGCACAAAGUUAAAUAUUUCCUGCAAGGCAGCUUGUUUCUUAUGAGCAGGGAAAUAUUUUUCAGAGAAGUAAUAAAUCAUAUCCUGGGGACUACGCACACAACCAGGAGCAAGAGUAUUGUACCAAGCUUUAGCAUCAUCCUUUAAUGAAAACGGAAAUAAUUUGAGAAUAAAGUAAUAGCGAGUCUUCUCAUCAUGAGUAAAAAGGGUGGCUAUAUCAUUCAACUUAGUAAGAUGUGCCACAACAGUUUCAGUGUCAUAACCAUGGAAAGGAUCAGACUCAACCAAAGUAAUUAACUCUGGGUCGACAGAGAAUUCAUAAUCCUUAUCAUCAAUAAAGAUAGGUGAAGUAGCAAACUUAGGAUCACGUUUCAUUCUAGCAUUCAGAGAUUUUUCUUUAUACUUGGAUAAUAAUUUCACUAGAUCAUCUCUAUCCUUACAAGCGAGAAUAUCUCUAGUUGUCUCCUCAUUCAUGACAUAACCUUCCGGUAUCUUAGGCAAUUAAUAUCUAGGAAGGCUAGUUCUAGCAGGUGUUUCAGGAGAUUCAGUUUCAAGCUCAUCAUCAGAUUCAACAACAUCAUGUUGUAUUACUCUAGCAAUUUGUGCAUCAAGAAAAUCACCAAGUGGCACAUCAUCAUUAUCAAGCAAGGUACUAGCAUCAUCAUAAGCAUUAUCCAAAGCAAAAAUAGCAUCAUCAAUAACUUGCGACAUAUCAGAAUUAAUAGCAUGUUGUGGCGUUGCAACUUUACUCAUAAUAGAAGGUGAAUCUAAAGCAGAACUGGAUGGCAGUUCCUUACCUCCCCUCGUCCUUGAGGGAAAUAUCUUAGUCUUAGGGUCCUUCAGAUUCUUCAUAGUGAUAAAUUGAUAAUAAUCCCAAGUGAAUCAACAAAUAUAGCUAUGCUCCCCGGCAAUGGCGCCAGAAAAAGGUCUUGAUAACCCACAAGUAUAGGGGAUCGCAACAGUUUUCGAGGGUAGAGUAUUCAACCCAAAUUUAUAGAUUCGACACAAGGGGAGCCAAAGAAUAUUUGAAGGUAUUAGCAGCUGAGUUGUCAAUUCAACCACACCUGGAGAUUAAUUAUCUGCAGCAAAGUGAUCAGUAGCAAAGUAGUUUGAUAGUUUUGAUAAUAGUAACAGUAGCAACGGUAACAGUAACAGUGAUAACAGUAAUUUUGUAGCAAGUGUAACAGUGAUGAUAGCAGUAGUAACUUAGCAAAAGCAAUAUAAGAUAAAUUCGUAGGCAUUGGAUCGGUGACUUGUUGGAUGAUAUUCAUCAUGAGACAGUUAUAACCUAGGGAGAUACGGCACUAGCUCCAGUUCGUCAAUAUAAUGUAGGCAUGUAUUCCGUAAAUAGUCAUACGUGCUUAUGGAAAGAACUUGCAUGACAUCUUUUGUCCUACCCUCCCGUGGUAGCGGGGUCCAUAUUGGAAACUAAGGGAUAUUAAGGCCUCCUUUUAAUAGAGAACCGGAACAAAGCAUUAACACAUAGUGAAUACAUGAACUCCUCAAACUAUGGUCAUCAACGGAAGAAGUCCCGGUUUUUGUCACUCCGGGGUUACCGGAUCAUAAAACGUAGUAGGUGACUAUAACUUGCAAGAUCGGAUCUAGAACAUGGAUAUAAUUAUGAUAACAUAAACAGUUCGGAUCUGAGUUCCUGGCACCCGGGCCCAAAGUGACAAGCAUUAAGCAUGGCAAAGUCAUAGCAACAUCAAUCUUAGAACAUAGUGGAUACUAGGGCUCAAGCCCUAACUAGACUAACUCGAUUACAUGAUGAAUCUCAUCCAACUCCUCACCGACCAGCGAACCUACGAAGGAAUUACUCACUCCCGGUGGGGAGAAUUAUGGAAUUGGCGAUGGAGAAGGGUUGGUGAUGACGAAGAACGAAGAUCCCCCUCUCCGGAGCCCCAAACGGACUUCAGAUCUGGCCUCCCGGUGAAGAACAGGAGGUGACGGCGGCUCCGUCUCGUGGAUCGCGAUAAUUCUUUCUCCCUGAUUUUUUUCCUGGCAAAAUAGGAUUUUAUAGCGUCGGUUUCAGGGUCUGCGGGGCCACCAGGUGGGGACAACCCACAUGGGCGCGCCAGGAGAGGGGGCGCGCCCUGGUGGGUUGUGCCCACCCAGGGGCCCCUCUCCGGUAGGUCUUGGCUCCAGAAAUUCUUAUUUAUCCUAUAAAAAAUCCUGGCAAAGUUUCAUUCCAUUCCGAGAACUUUUAUUUCUGCACAAAAACAACAUCAUGGUAGUUCUGCUGAAAACAACGUCAGUCCGGGGUUAGUUUCAUUCAAAUCAUGCAAAUUAGAGUCCAAAACAAGAGGAAAAGCAAUAGGAAAAGUAGAUACAUUGGAGACGUAUCACAGCGCAGCAAGGGACGUUCGUUCCCGACAGAGAGAAUGACCACCGAGGCCCUCGGGAAUCCUGAGCACCCUGGACGAACAUGAGGCACGGCAGGCUCCGUUACGUGGAAGGUUGGGUUUCCCGGCGCAGGCGGUUACAAAACCCAGGAGAGGACGAGGAAACUGGAGUAGAGCGAACUGCAGAAGCUAAAUGCAAGUGUACGAAAGCUAGUGGAACAAGUUGAGAGCCAGCAAGGUGCCGGAGCUACCCGAGAAGCUACCCCGUCAUCUCAGCGGAGAAGCAGCGUGGCUUCUACCUAGCUCGUUAAGCAACCUGACUUCACGGCUCCUAGCUACCCCGUGGAUGCUAUCACGGAGGCUCAACAUUGCCAGCUUAUGACGCAAUGGAAGAACCUCAAAGUCAAGGCGGCUGUCGGCUCUGUUGCACCUCCUCAGUCCGACGCAACUUUUCACUGUCGUCCGAUUCCAUAAGGCUAUGCUGUUGUGAUGGUGGAUGAAGUGAUGGAGGGAUUUGUGGAGCUCGAGCUUGACCAACCAACAGGUGAAGGGGAUACUCAGCUGGGUCUUGCUCUGAAGACUCCAUGUCUAUGGCGGAAGGAGCACAUGAAGCUUCUGAACUGGACGCCUCCGCCUCCUCCUCCUCCUCCUCCUCUGGUGAGUGAUCAGGGCACUCCGCCUCCUUCUCCGACGCGUGAGGGCGGCACUCCACCUCCUUCUCCGCCAGCUCCGGCGCGUCCGAGCAGCCCGCCUCGUCCUCCGCCUCGUCAGCAACGGCGGAAGACAGAAGUCGCCGCUCCGGCGCGUCGGAGCACUCCGCCUCCUUAUACUACUCGUCAGCAGCAAUGGAAGAGAAACGCCGCUGCUCCGGCUUCUAGCAGUACAGCCAGAGGCGGGAGGCAAUACAGAUUCGGUCCAUCUCUCAAGCCUUUAGAGAAGUUACCAUACAAGAUGACCAUGGAGGAAAACGCGAAGAUCUGUGAAGCCCAAGUGAAGGACUUCUUUGAAACGCGAAGAGCUAUGAAACAUCCACCUCCGGAGGAGAAGAUAGAUCCGGUGAAAUUGAAGCGCACUAUCGAUGCCCUGAAGCGACCACCACCGCCUCCGCCGGAUGACAACCAUGUCCACUGUCUUAAAAAGACACUGCAAGAUGCGCGCUGGUCGGGAACUACUUCGACUGAUAAAAGGUUAGAAGAAAAAAGAAGUGGGAAAAAAUUCUCCAGCUCGGCGAACAGGCGAACCAAUCGUGCCCCCUGCUCAAGGUGUCUAGCGAUAUCGUCACAAAUGUGCCGGGGAUGCUGCCCGGUACCGAUCCUGGUGAUUACCUACCCGACGAUGCACAUUUUGAUAAAAUGGAGGUGGACGAAUUCAGAUGCCAGUACGGGAAGCCUCUCAUCAAAGAUGGAAGUCCUCCUCUAACAACGAUGAUGCGAAGAUUCCAUCAAUGGUACAUGAAAACCUGCAGCGAGUCUGGGAAGGAUGCUUUGACGAUGAGAAUUAAAGAUGACCACGACUUUAUUGGACAAGAACUGUUAACUGUUGAUUUUGACGAGUUUUUCCAGUUCUACAAUCUAAUGGCCGUCGACAAAUCACUCGUGGCUUGCUACUGUCUGUAAGUACUACUUUAUGUAAUUAAGUCUCUAUAUAUAGCUCAGCUCUUUCAUUGCAUGUAUACAUAAUUAUCCUCACUAUAUUAUGUAGAUUGAAGAUCGUCGAAUGGAGAAAAGCACAAAUCUAUGACAUUGGGUUCAUUAACCCAAAUGUCAUACAUAAAUGGAUGGUUAAACACAAUGUCUCAGAAACCGAGGACAACUUGCUACAAUCGUUGCUCAAAAAUCAAAGCAAAGAUAAAAUACUCUUUCGUUACAACUUCAAGUGAGUGUUACUGUCUUGUGCACAUUCGGUUUCCCUUAUUACUCGAGGUUAUAGUAAUGUAACUGAUGAGUUAUGCAUGCGUGCGCAGGUACCACUUUAUUAUCCUAGAGAUUAAGCUUGAGUGGGGAGUAGUAACCAUCUUAGACUCCAGACGGAAAGAUCCUGAGGAGUAUGCGGACAUGACUCGAAUGCUCAAGAAGUAAGUUCAAUCGAUACCAUUUAGCAUGCUUGCUUAUCAGUUUGAUUGACCUCUAUUUCUCAUAAAGUGCUUGUGGCAGGGUUUAUUCAUUUCCUGAUAUCAAGUAAUUAUUUUCUUUGUCUGACAGGGUUUGGAAAGAGUUCACCACAAUUUCUCUGGGACUGCCGACCAAGCUGCGAUUUAAACACCCGAAAGUAAGUACUACUACCUAGUUCCGCGCAUCUCCCAUUGAUUCUAGCUAGUUUCAUCAAUACCAUUUAGCAUGCUUGCUUAUCAGUUUGAUUGACCUCUAUUUCUCGUAAAGUGCUUGUGGCAGGAAGCCGGGAAUGAUUUCUGUGGAUACUACGUUUGCGAGUUCAUCUACAACACGACGGCCUCUAAUAAGCGCGGCUACUCUGAAAAACAAUAUGAAGUGCGUAAGAAAAAAUAUUCACAAUUUUAUUUUAUUACCAUCAUUUGUGUUGAGUUUCAUUCAUACACAUGUAUUGACCCUCUUCUUCAAUUUAGAUCUGGCAAAUGCGGGAUGAACUCCUAACACAUGAUCGCAUAAAAUCAAUUCAAGAGGGGUUGGCGGGAUUCUUUCUUGACCACGUCAUCAAUAAAGCCGGAGAAUACCAUGUGGCACUUGACUUCAGAUGUUAGGGAUUGUAAGAGAUCUUAUAUUGUAUAUAUGUUGCUAGUAGCGUCGGAUAGAUAUACGAAAACUUGUUGUUCAACCAAUCUCUCAGAGAAGGAGGAGGUCGACCACUUCUCUCUGUAUAUGUUCAUGACGAUCUUGUGUACUUAAUGGUUUCCUUCAUUUGCUUACUAGCUAGCGUGUCGAGUCCUCUCUAUACGUAUAGUACGUAGCGUCGACCAAGCACAGAGAUAAGAGAGGUCACUUCUCUCUAUUAGCUAGCUGACACAAUAUAUGAAACCCCUAAAUUAACCCUCCAAAACCCCCCAACCCNNNNNNNNNNNNNNNNNNNNNNNNNNNNNNNNNNNNNNNNNNNNNNNNNNNNNNNNNNNNNNNNNNNNNNNNNNNNNNNNNNNNNNNNNNNNNNNNNNNNNNNNNNNNNNNNNNNNNNNNNNNNNNNNNNNNNNNNNNNNNNNNNNNNNNNNNNNNNNNNNNNNNNNNNNNNNNNNNNNNNNNNNNNNNNNNNNNNNNNNNNNNNNNNNNNNNNNNNNNNNNNNNNNNNNNNNNNNNNNNNNNNNNNNNGGAUGCUUUUUGGUCCCGGUUGGUGUUACCAACCGGGACCAAAGGCCCUCCUGCCUGGGCUCGUCGGAGCGGCCAUGUGGAGCCCCACCUGUCCUGGUUCGUAAGCGAACCAGGACUAAAGGUCAUGGGCUUUAGUCCCGACCCUUUAGUCCCGGUUCCAGAGCUGGGACAAAUGGGCCUCUGGAACCGGGACAAAUGGGCCUUUAUCUACUAGUGAUCCAAGACCUCGACACCACCUCACCCGAGACCCGCCGCACCCCACGAAAGAGACGAGCGGAAAGGUCCCACCUUUCGCACCCCUGGGCGACCCCCAACGUCGAGACCCAAUAGGUCGGCCAAAACUGGCAUCCAUCGACCCGUCCUGCUGCCCCGAGCGCGAGACGAGCUCGGUCCUGCAGCAUCGAGAAGGGGACGAGGUCAGUCCUGCUGCACCGUGCACGAGACGAGCUCGGUCCUGCUGCAUCGUGCACGGGACUAGCUCGGUCCUACAGCACCGGGGCACGAGACGAGCGGUGGACCGCAUCUGGGAGAGGACCAGCCCAUUGAUGGGAGUAGCGCCCGGGCGACGAGAAGAUGGGGAGAAGGUCGAGACAGCCCGACCGCAGACGAGCCGACGCCAGAGAAGCCGGCCGUUGCCGCGGGCAGAUCCGUCCAGCCGUCGUGAAGCCGCCACGACACCGGGAGGCCACCACCGAGACCUCCCCAUGCCGCCGCCAACGGCCAGAGCAGCGGCCACGCCCGACCCUGCCCUACCCGCGCCGCCCAUCGAGCUCCAAGCGCCGGAGCCGCCAGGCACGCACCACCGGAGCCACGCGCCGCCGGCCAGCCCCCCACGCCAGAUCCGGCCGGAUCCGGCAAGAGACCGGCCGCGCGCCACCUCCCGUGAUGGGAGCAUCGCUGUUACCCCGCCGUGCGCAGAACGAAGGGUGCCAGAGCACCGCCACCAGUAGGCCACCCGCCGCCCCGCGAGACCACCGCCGCGCCACUGGACCCCGCGAACGUCCAGCGCUGCCACUCAAAGGAGUCGCCCGCGCCGGCGCCCACAAGGGAGGGGGAAGAAGGGCCCCGCCACCGCCGUGCCCACCGGGCUUUGCCUGAUGGAGCUCGCCGGCGACGGCGGGGGGAGGGGAGGGAAGCGGGGCUAGGGACGCGGUAGCUGGAGAUCCCCGUCGGCACGCGCGUGCGUGCCGCGGGAGGGGAGGGGAGGAGAGGGGGAGCGGGGCGGGCCGGGAGGCGCGCGCCCGGCGGCCGGUGGCGGCGGGGAGGGAACCCUAGCGGGGGUCGUGGGGGUCGCGGGGGGUGAUCACUAGAGCUGCUUUGGAAAGUCUUCUCCCAAGACAAUAUGAGUCUACAAGCUAAUUAAUGAAGUCCUCUAUGACACUACUACUAUGUUACUUUGCACUAUGAAGAUAGUAACUUAGACUAGUGUCAUAUGCAUGACACUAGUAUAAGUUACUCCCCACUAUGACCAGCCUAAGAGCGUCUAUGCCCAAAUCCGCUCAAACACUCGGUCAGACGGCCUAAUCAAUGACCGGUCACAAAAAUAUAAUUUAGACGGAUUUUUCAAACGGGGCUGAAACAAACAGAUUAACCGGCACCCCUCAUAUUCAGGUCAAAUAUGGAGCGGUUAAAGAGGUGCCCGGACGUGCCCGUCAUGGCGGAUUGACGAUGGGGUCCCAUAGAAAAACACUCUGAAACCUGGCGGUCCAAAAAUCGUCUCCUUGAUCGGAUCGAUGGUGCCGCGUGGCGCCGCUCUAGCGGGCCGUGUAGUGCCUAGCCCGGCUUUUUAAGCCGACCGCCGGCAUCGAAACUCUACCCAUCCACAUUUCCCCCUCCUGUUCGCCACUGCCGCCACUUUCCACUCGCAAUCCGCCACCACUAGUAGUCAUGCCCCCAUGCCGCCGGAUAAGGAGCUACCCAUAUAUAUCUAACGCCAGAGCGGCGGCUGCGCCUCCUUGAGCAGAUCUGUGCAAGGCGCGAAGCCCGGAUCGCCGUGGGGCAACCUCCGGAUGCGGUGGAUCCGGAGGAGGAUGUUGAAGACGCGGAUCUGCAGGCGGAACAGCAGGCGAUCCGCGAUUCCCUCCGGUCGAAAGCGGAGGCGGAGACCAACCGUCACCGUCUGCAGGAGGCGGAGGCGGAGCACGCUGCGGUCUUCGAUGAGAUGCUCACGUCUACGGACGAGGACAGGGAGCCGAAUCCCACCCACGCGACCAUCUAUCCGUCCGGCACCAACAACAUGGACAUCUCCGUCGAUGAAGCUUAGCUAGGGUAGUUAGUACGUAGGAUUUCUUUUGCAUGGUUUGUAUGAAAUCUAGGAAAUGAAAUGUGAAAGACUAGGAUGCAGAGGAGUAAAUCUGAGACUUGAUCGGUCACUGUCCGUGGACGCGACCGGUCACGUCCGCGGGCGUUUGUGGUUGGAUAGUAGAUGCUCUAAGAGCAUCUAUACCCGGGCACCCCAAACCCACCUUAAACGCCCGGGCGGACGGCCUGGUCACUGACCGGUCAUGAAAUUUCGACCCAGACGGGCGCCUCAAACGAGCCUCAAACGCCUAGCCUGACCAGCACCCCUCAUAUCCAGCCCAAAAAUGGGGCGGAUAUGGGGGCGCCCGGGCGCGUCCGCCACGUCGGACCCGGCCCAUGCUGGCCCACCCGACAUUACAUAUAUUCCUCCCCAUCCACUCGCCGGACCAAUCCCUAGCCACUUCACUUCACUCUUCUCCGCCACCCAAGCUCCCGUUCGGCGAUCUUCGGCUGUCUCCGGCAUGGCGGGCAGCGGAUCCGAGUCGUUCACCUCCAGAUCCGUCGACCCCGAGCUCAUCCCACACGGCUCCGAGGAGGAGAUGGUCGUCCGGCUUGCGCUCCGCCGCUCCCGGGAGGAGGCCCGUGCGAUGCAGCGCUCGGACUCCUUCCGUCAGGAAUCCAUUGCGUCCGCCCAAAUGGCGCAUUGAUCCAGCGCUAUGUGUGACGCCACUGCCUCACCGGAGGUGGUGCGGUCCGUCUGGCGUCCGAACGUGGUGGCGGACGCACAACCCCUCCGUUGGCGCACCGAGGCCAUGGACGCACCAUGGGUGUCGUCCGACGCAAACAUGGCGCGGCGUGCCCGCCGUCCGAGGCAGCUGGCGCUGGAGGCGGCGGCAGCCAUCGCGGCGGUGGACAUCGGCGAGGCGGAGUCGCAUUCUCCGACGCUGCGUAUGGUGCACCAGUCCAGGCGCCACAACCGCGUUAUGGUGGAUGUCGCCGCUUCGUCCCAGGACGGAUCCAUCAUCAAUCUAAUGUCCACUGGCACCGUUAGGUUUCGGGCUCUGACGAGGAAGAGUAAGGCAUACGAGACGGCGGCGCGUUGAGUCCCGUGAGCCGACUCGUGUCCCAUGCCCUACUCUACCUUAGCGCCGACCGGGCCAAUACUCUAGGGAGCGCAGCCCGUCGCUGUACAUGGGCACAACGGAUCCGGACAAGCUCUGCUUAAAAAUCGGUUUACGUUGUAUGUAAUAAUAUGAAUUUGAGAUUUUUACAUUGAUGUCCAUUGUAGAAUCAAAUACGGAAUGGAUGUGCACACGACGUCAUGUGCACGAGGUGCACCCGAUAAAAGCUCUGCACCAUCAGAUGCUCUAGAAACACAAGUACGAAUGGCUAGAUGGAAACGUCGUCAACGUGUCGUCUAAAAGGUAUCGGCUGUAUAGCAGUGCUCAAAUUAAGUAUUUAAGAUGUGAUCGGUCACUGUCCGUGCAGGGGCUAGAUUUUCUAACUGGCGGCCGGGGCGGGCAGCCGGCACGGUCGGUCGUCCCGUCGCUGUUGCUCGCCACGACGCGGCCAUCUCGAUCCUCCUCCUCUCCACUUGGAUCGACCGCGACGUCCCCUCCUCUCCCGUCUCGUCUCGUGUACGGUGCACCGAGCAGGGAUCUCGACGGAUGUGAUUGGCAUAUGCAGGUGGCGUCUGACCGCGACCGCCCGGCCAUGGUUGGUACUUGGUACGGUUGUAUUUAAUUGCAAAGUGCCCAGUGUGUCCAGAUCGAUCGACCGUUCGUCUCUGCCCGUCCAGCACCUCCCGCCUUUCGCCUGACUUCCCGCCGUGACUGCAAGUACGUAGUACGUACCUAAGAUAAGUGUCGGCGCCACUCUCUUCACGUACGGUUUUUCGUUGUUGUUGUGAAGAACCGGUGGACAUGGACGACCCAGGUACCACACACAUAACGCGACGUACUACACGGCGACGGCAUACACUAUAUUCACUCGCCAACGCAUCUUUAAUUAGCAACCAUCAAGGACAGGGCGUGCAUGCAUGCACGCUCGAUGAACCCUUGCGCGCGCGGCACAAAACACUCGUCUUUCGCUUUCCUCGUCCAUCAUCGUGUUUCCAAGGCCGGUGACGGGGGUAAUCAUGCCGCUUUUGCUCAACCGCGCGACGUGCGUACUACCGGCAUGGCGACCUGGAUCGUCUUUUCCCGCCUUGAUCCCCGCCGCCCGCUUCACCCACGUCACCCUCCCCCCUCCUGAUGCAAAACCUUGAGCAUGCAUGCAUGAUGGAUCCAUGCCCAUCUCUACUGAAUACUUCACAUGAUAGCUGCAUUAGUACGCCACUAAGUGCUCCUCCAACUCCAUCAGCUUUAAAUUGUGCAAGUGAUCAUGGAUGUGGUAUAUGUAACCAUCAUAUAAUGCCAUUAUACUACGAGCAGAGCACUUAUCUGCUGAAAUUGGACGGGUUGUCAGGUAAAAGGUCAGGUCCACUCAUUGUUCCAGCUGUAUUAGACAGAGGCUGCUUGUUUUCCUUUUCUUAAAAAGCGGAUUAAGGACACUGAUGACCUGGGGUUAAUGAUUCUCUUUCAUGGAAAGGGAACCUUUAACUUAAGUCACAUCAUCUUUGCAUUUCAAAAAUCAAAUUGACCUUCCACUUGGCUCUCAUACCGGCUUAAUCAACUUCUCUUUAAUGAUUCUAGUUAAGUGGCUAUCAAAUUGCUCCUAAAAAAAUUGUGAAUGCUUGAGGGGAAACAGAUCAUGCUAGCUUUUCUUCUCAAGAAACAACUUUGGUUAAUUUACCUAUUUUUUGAAAGAUACCAUUGAUACAUAACUUCGGUUGCUGAAAGCGAGUGCAGUGCUUGUGAAAGUAACAAAGAACACCGGUAUCUCACUGUCUGCUAGAGUAACUAUUUUCUAACUGAAUAUUUGAUUGUUAUUGCAUGCAGUUGCUCUCUCUCUAAUCUCUAUGGCAUGACAUUUGGGUGUCAUUUCUUCAUAAUAAUUUGGUUGUGGGCAUCCUUGACGCCUCCCUCGGCUAACUUUUGACCUUGUGUUAUUGCAGAGUCUAGGACUAUAAUAUAUUGUUGGCUCUUCGUAGUUAAAAGAAGAACCUAAAUACUUAACUGACAUCUAUUUGUUGCAUGAUCGGUUAGAAAAGAGGGGGCAAGAUACGUUUCUGCCCUGAGGGGGCAAGAUUCUUCUCUGCUGGCUGUGCGCAAGUGCAUACGUAAUGCCAGGCCAAGCAGCCAACACCAUCUUGUUCUUAUCUUAUACUACUACAAAUAGGUCCUAAUUAAUAUUCUUCAGAUAGUUUAAGAGCCUAAACGCACAUAGUAUCAGCACUAACCGUCAGAGCAGUGAGGACCAUUGAAAUCUUAAUUUAAAAUCAUUAGAGUCUUCUAAUCUCAUUACAGUGCCCUAGAGGAAGACAAAACCUGCCUAGGAAUGUCAGCCCGUCGGGCAUGAAUUAGAGCCUACCACUGGAACUAAACUAAACCCUACAUGAUUCCCUGAUAUCCCCACCUGUUGGGCGCCAUUUCACCUUUUCUUCAGUAUUCAAUCUGAAUAUAUACAUGGAUGCAUAAUAAUUCUUCCCAAUACGACGCCACUCAUCAGCUGCAAGUAGUUCUCAUGACAGUAGUGUAGUAGUAACUGUUGGUGAAGCAAUUCGGAAGGCGAGUGGAAAUGAUGGGUGGAUCAGCAGCGUUCAGCGGUGCAGAAUUCCGCGACGACGAACGACGCCAAUCGACAUAUCAUCCGUCCAUCAAACGGAAAUCAUGGCUCGGCCGAUCUCGAGGCGCGGAAAGGAGAUCGAGGGGCGCGGCAGGCGAGGAUGAAAGUUGAGGCGCAAAACCUUUCUGAAAAAGGGCUACAGGGGAAGGGGAGCAAAGGAAAUAGCAUGCAUGCCUGCAAGAGAAAAAAGCAGGCCACAAAUACGCAUCGCGCGCGCGCGCGCGCGCGCACAGGGAACACUAUGACACUACACUAUGCACAAAAUCCGAUCACACACACAUAGAAAAGCUGCCGUUUUGAGGCCGGGGAGCAGUGCAUAAAAGUGAUGGAAAGAGUGGAGCUAGAGGCCUCCGGCUAAGCGAGGUGGCCAUCCAUGUCCAUGCAUGGCCGCGGCAGAGAUUCCUUGAGUUCUCCUCCUGUGAUGGAAUGAAGGAGCUGAGCCAUGUACGCUUGCGAGCUACUAGUGAUGGAGAAAAGCACGACUUGGAUCGAUGCGGUGAAGCUCGUAUACUUUACACUCAUGAUCCCUAUGAGUUCACUGUGGUUUUGGCGCACCUCGGCGAGCGCGCACACGCCAUGACACUAGCCAUCUUUUGGAAAGCAGAACGCGCGCGCGCAGCUAGCACAGACACGCAGACCUGACAAAAGCGAGGUCAAAAUGAGAGCUCUCCCCAAAAGCGAUCUACAUAUCCUCGACUCUCAACUCAUCGGCGAUUUAAACUACUAUACUAAGUAGAUGCUUGCUGAAAUGUAUGUAUCUAAUUAUUUCGAAGCAAAACGCCGUGAUGAUGAGUUAAGCAGGUCCUUCUGUGCCUGCGUGGUGCAUGAAAUGCUCAUUUCCUCGCCACCUACUUAAUCAUGGGCAUGCGUAGACAAGAUAAUCUAUGGUUACAUAUAGAGUAGGAGUAUUAUUUUCCUAUCAAUCUCCUUCGACAAGUUAACCUUCUGCCCUUGAGGUGCACUAGCUAGCUAGCCAGCGUGGAAAAGUCAUGCACGUACAGUACUGCGACUACACAACUUGGCACACACACAGUAGGGUGUUUGAACUUUGAAAUUAUUGCCUGCAAUUAAUUUGCCUUUUGCGUCUAUGCAGCAGUGAACCUGCAGUGGCAUCUCUUCUCUCUCUCUUUCAGACACACGGACAUGGACAUUAGUACAUUUGUGUCAUCUGUCACGUCCACCUCUUGAUCACGACGUGUGUCAGCGCGUGUCCGUCCGUGUCUCCGUGUGCGUGUGAGAGAAAGUAUGAUUGUAACAUGGCUAAUAGCAAAGCAACAGAGUCGACAUUUCAAUUAGGCUGUUCAUCACAAGUUGGUGUGCAUGUUGGCGUUCAGGUCUGAUCGAUGAGAGCGAGCGACGUCCAAGCAGGACACGAGCACAUGUGUCUAGGGGCCGGCCGGGCUGCAUGCUGCUCCUGCAUGCUACUACUACUAGUACUACACUAUCACCACCGGCCGGCCAGUGCCACUCAAUGCACCCAAUCAACUCAACAUGUGACGGCUCCGAUAUUGCGCAGAGAACAACCGACAGGGCCAGCACGGUAUUGGCUUCAUCCCUCACCUCCUGAACCCGGCAGCUGGACUGGGCUGACAUGACCGCAUGCACUCUGUACAGCUCAGCAUGCCACCCGUCACUGACACGUGGGGCCAACAUUCCUACGUAGCCCACUCACGUGAAGAUCCACUUGUCAGGGCCCAAACGGAACUAUGAACUCUUUUUUUUUUCAAAACCCGUUACGAGCUAAAUAUAAGCGCGACAUGUUCAUAUGGGUCUACAGUUAAUCAUGUAUGACAGGACAGCACUGACGUGUGAGCCCAAAACGUUAACGCGAGCCGCUUACGCAUAACCCCACCCGUUGGUAAAUCAGAAAGGCUUCGCCGAUGUCCAAAAGCAACCUAAGGUACAAAUAAGCGCGACAGAUUCAUAUGCGUCUCCAGCUCAUCUGUCAGUGACCAGGCACGGAAACAACCUUUACAUUUUGCAAGCAAGCACAUUUUGCCCGUUGGGUCCUCCGACUCAACAAGCACACGUCGAACGUCCAUUCAUAUUUGACCGGGACCAUUUUGUGAAUUAUGAUCAUCCUAAACCACCUUGAACCAUCACCGAAGAAAAGAAAGAAAGAAAGCCCCGCCUUGAACAAAGAAAAGAAUGUGUAAAAACCCACCGUUUGUGCAUCCAACCCCAUCACAUGUGAGAUAUCACCGGAAAACCACCCUCGGCAAAAUAUCAGGAAAAACCCACGGGUUGUAAAUUCGGCUCCUGAUCGCCGGAAAGCCCACGGGCAGCCGGUCAAAAGGAAGAAAAAAACACCGGUCAGGAGCGCAAGCACGAGCGGCCACGCAUCGGGCGAUAGCGCCAACGGCCAACCGGCUACAUAGCGCAGGCUGUCCGCCCCAGUUGCAGCAAGCGGCCUGGGCUAGCGAGAACCAUGGAUAUGGAAAGGGCAGGCGCAGGGGCAGGCCACGUGCCAUUAAAACCAGCAGAGACGUACGCAGAAACAUCGACCGAGAAGAGCAACCCUGGAGCGCAGCGCAGCGCAGAACCAUAUCACAUUCACGCCGCUCCAGUUCACUCCACACGCGCGCACCCUGCCCGCUGCCCCUCCUUUAUAUGGACGGACGGAUCGAGACUGGCGGAGGAGCGGGGCGAGAGGGCGACCUCCGUCUUGUAUCGAUCGCCGCGAGAGAUCGCUCUGUGGCCGCAGCUGUGUUCCGCUGUACGCACGCACUGCCCGUCUCGGCCCGUGCCGCCGCUCCGGCCCGGAGCGCCGCGGUGGCAUGCGUAUGCAUGGGCGUGGCACGGUUGGUGGUGCGACCGCGCGCGUGUGGGGAAUCAUUGACGGGCGGCGAUCGAUAAAUUAACACGGCCGGGUCGGUUGGUCUGGUCGCCUCGCCUGGCCAGCGGUGGACUCGAGUCCGCGCCAGCGCGAGGCCGGUCGUCGCUUGCCAACCGCGCGCUGGCGCCCCACCCCUGUUGGGUUGUGUUCUCUCUCUCUCUCUCCCUUUCUCUUUCUCCCGUGCCUGGCCCUGGCUGUGGGGGUGGUCCUUGCCGUCGAUCGAUCGGUUGCUAGCUUGGCUUCCCUGCAGAUUGUUUGCCCAUCGCAUGACAAAAACCUACGCCCGUAGCUGGCCACCCUCGUCGACUCCAUCGCAUGCUACUACCUUUUUUUUCUUUUCUUUUGUAUGGAGUCCUACUGGCAGAUCACGGCUGACGACGACGUACACUAAUUGUCCCAAAAUGUACUGCCCAGUUGUGUAGUUCUUCCUCCAUCCGGAUUAUUGCACCCCCACAAACUCGUAUUUUGUGUUAGAUUUUGAUAUCAUACAUUCGACUCGACUAGCAAAAUAUAAGUUGUACUCCCUUUGUAAAGAAAUAUACGAUCGUUUACAUCACUAUAUGGUAAUCUAAACGAAGUUAUAUUUAUUUACAGAGAGAGUACAUACUAAAAACCGCAUUGUUUGGAUUCGUAUUCAAAAUAUGUUAUCAAGCAUUCAAAUGGUACUAAUUUUGUGGUCAAAUGUUAUAUUUUGCUAGUUAAAACUAAGGUCAAAGUUUGACAAAAAUAUAGGGGGGACUGAUAAAUAAAGCCGGACGAGUAAGUGCCCGCGAAAGAAUUUUAUUUUCGGUGGAUCAGGCAUGAUCAUAAGUUGAAUACCAUGGGAGAAAGCAAAAGGACGUUGGCGGAUCUUAACCCUAGCUAGCUAGCUGGUUGAUCAAGAAAGAACAAAUCGAUUAUAAGCAGCACAAGCAGCAUGCAAAAUGGAAUUCAUGGCCCUGCAUGGUGUAAAAUAACUUGAAAGCUAGGACUAACAAAGCUUGGUGGCAAACAAAAAAAUGAACCAUCGACCGAUCACGGCAUGUGACGAAUGCCAUGCCUGAUGAAAAUUCUCUUCCGCUCGCAUUUCAUCAAACCCUAAUGCUAAAAGAACAAAAAUAAACAAUCUCUUGCUGCUGCUGCUGAUGUGUCUCCCUCCUCUUCUCCAAUGGCACACCUCGCUCUUCCACUCACAAGCACAAACGUACGUGCGCUAAGUAUGACGAUGAUGAUCUAAAUGCCAUGGGAUCGCAGCCGAGUGUAAUCCUUGCGAGUUAUCUAAUGUCUAGGAGUGGAGGAAGGAAACCACAAAAGGAAAAAGAAAUCAAAGACAAAGAACAGAUCAAAGCCACACCAGAGACCAAUGCAUGCGAUGCGAUGCGAUCCUCGGAGGCCCGCCCGGCCUACGACUCGCUGGUGCUCAUGCUCUCAUGCCGCUCGCCGCCGCCACCACCACCUCCGUGUUGCUGCUGGCUAGACGAUCCUCCUCCGCCGCCGCCUCCUUGCCCCGCCGCUGCUUCCGCCGCCUGUGUCCGGUACGCGUUCAGCGCGGCGAGGAUCCCCAUCUGCCCCUCGCCUCCGCCACCGCCGCUGGCUCCCACUGGGCCGAGCCCCAGCUGCUGGCCGGGUAGCAGCGCCAUCGGUGCAGGGAAGUUCAUGAAAUGUAGCCCGCUUGGCACGCUCCCACGAUACACGGCAGCCGCGGCGCCGGCGCUGCCCACCUGCGGGAAAGUCCAGAUCGACUCACCACUUCCUCCUCCACCGCCGCCGUUUCCGCCGCCGGAAGGCGCCCCGCUGCCCUGCGCGUUGUUGCUUGGCACCAUCCAGACGGUGCCUGGCAUUUGGCUCUGCGUGUACCCCGCCAUCUGCUGCUGGUACUGUUGUUGCUGUUGCUGCUGCUGGUGUUGUUGUUGCUGCUGCUGCAUUUCUUGCUCCCAUCGCCGCUUCCUCGAAAGGUCGGCGGCUGCGGCAGCGGCAGCGGCUGACGGCGAGGGCUGCACGUCAAGACCGACGCUGCCCGAGUGGAAGUUGAGCAACAGCGGCGACGGCGUCGACGAAGACGAGGCGGGGCCUUCGGGCGGGUACCCGAGUCCGACAACCCGGUCCCACGCGUCGGCACGGGAGCCGAACCUUACGCCGGGGCUCGGCAAGGCCCCGCGGAGGUGGGCCGGGAUGGAGAGCGAGGAGCCAGAUGAGCGGAGGGAGAUGUUGAGGGAGGUGAAGUUGGCCGGGAUGGUGCCGGUGCCGGUGGCCGCGAUCACCGCCGGCUCCGCCUGCUGCAGCAGCCACUCGAUGGUCUCGCCGUCCGUCUUGUGCCCCAGCUCCCGGGUUAGCUGGAACACCCUCGCCGCGCACAGCGCAGGCAUCCGGAUGCGCCGUCCCCGGCCCUCCACCUUGGUGUGCCGGUCCUUGGUCGACGUCCGCUUGGGCACCACCUUCCGCACCUGCAUCUCCCCUCCGGCGGCACCGCCAGUGGCUGCUCCAUUCCCGCCGCCCGCCGAGGUGCCCCCCGCAGCCGAGCUGGAGCACGGUUGCUCCUCCUUCUUCUCGAGGAGCUGCAAGGGGAAGUUGGGCCUCCGGCCGCCCCCGGCGUCUCCGGCGAUGUCCAUGGUCAAUUAGGCCAUGUUAUAUACACACACAGCUAUCUCUGCGUGUAUAUGCUUUGGCCGGGUAAAUGGGUGGUUGUUUGCAGGAGAGGGGAACGGAUUUGAUGCCGCCGACCGCUUCUUGUGGGUCUAGCUCGAGAUUGGUUAGGUGUGAUGNNNNNNNNNNNNNNNNNNNNNNNNNNNNNNNNNNNNNNNNNNNNNNNNNNNNNNNNNNNNNNNNNNNNNNNNNNNNNNNNNNNNNNNNNNNNNNNNNNNNNNNNNNNNNNNNNNNNNNNNNNNNNNNNNNNNNNNNNNNNNNNNNNNNNNNNNNNNNNNNNNNNNNNNNNNNNNNNNNNNNNNNNNNNNNNNNNNNNNNNNNNNNNNNNUCCAGGAGCUAAGCUAUGAGGUAAAGAUUAUAGGUUUGGAAGGAACCCUUCCUCAUAUGAUACGAUGAGAGAGAGAGAGAGAGAGAGAGAGAGAGAGAGAGAGAGAGGUUGUGUGCGUGUGGGAGAUCACACACACUAUUUUAUGGCCUUCUGGUAAGCUUCAUCUGCGAUCUGGGAGAAGGGAGAAGCAUGAGCAGAUGGCCCUAGCUAGAAGCUAGGAGAAGGAGAGAGAGAGAGACAGAGAGGGGGAGGAAGAAGAUGGUGUACUUUGUAGGGCUUGGAGGAGAGAGAUGGAUGAAUUAAAUGGUUUCUUGAUGUAGAGAGAGAGAGAGCGGAGCUUGAGUGACAGAGACUGUGGUCGUGUACAUGGAGAGGGGGAGACGGGCAGCGAAGGGAGGAAAGAGGAGGAUAAGACAGGCGGAGGAGAAUUAUUAGGCUCACCU
rnacentral:lncRNA from 1 species